rnacentral:lncRNA from 1 species
GGAUGAAUCGUAAUGACAAUGCACCAAAUUGGAAGUUGAGAAAGUAAAGUAUAAUGACAAUGUGCCAAAAUAGCGACGAUCGUGAAUUUUUUUAGUUAAUUCUUCGAUAAAACAUCAAUUUAUCGUCUAACUUUAACUAAAAAUUAAAAUCUUAAACUAUUAAAACUGAUUAUCUUAUUUGACAUCCUAGUUAUCUAAACAUUAAGUCCACCCCACCAUUCCGUUAGAAAGUUAACAAAAUAUUAACGGUAGAGACCAAAAUAUAUUGUUUUUAAAAGUUUAGAGACUUAAACAAUCACUUUUAAAAGUCGAGGGAAGAAUGAAGUUUAGAGACUAAAACAGAUUUUCUAAAUGAAUCACAAUGAACAAUAGUAAGGAAAAGUCACGAUCCCAUCUUCUAACACAAGGCGAAACAACUACAACAAGAUAAUAUAAAUAUUGCUCUUAAAAAUAAAAUGAACGACCAACCCUAACCAAAGAACUAAGUGACCUUUAAAUAUGCACAACUAAAUCACAAUGAUCAACAAUCCUAAAUUCUUGAGCAAAUUAUACACGGAAUAAAGGAAGAUGUUAGUAGGAAAAACAGAAAAGACAACCACCGACAAGAAAAUUAUUUAGUAGAAUGAACAUUUUUGUAUUAUGUAGACCUAUCCAUUUUCAAUAUCAAGAAACCAUAAAACAAAUAUUGCCAAUCUCAUAUAACCUAACAACUUCAAAUAAAUUUUAAUAUACUAACCAUACAUAUAUUUUUAAUUUAGAGUUAUUUUUUCAACCAGAAAUGAACGGUUUUUAGUUCAUAUAUUGAUUGUAGGAGUAGUUUUAAAUUUUGUUUAAAGGUUAAGAGUAUUUUUAAAAUUGUUAUAGUUUAGGGGGAGUUUUUUAAAAGAAACUUUUAACGGGUUUCAUCCAAAACUAAAGAUAAAAGUAUUUUUUAACCAAUUUUAAAAGUUCGAGGGUAUUUAUGAAACUUUUAAAAGUUUAGAGGUAUAUUUGACCCAAAAUAUAAAGUUGAGAGUCACUUUUUUUUUAUAAGUUAGCUUUGAAAAAUUACAUAAAAUAUAAAGAAAAUUUAGAAAAAUCACCUAGUACUUUAUACAUCAAAUUUCACUAAUGUCCUAAAAUUUUAUUUAUUAUCUUAGGUAAGAUUUCGUGUUUUUAGGACCAUUUUAACCUUCAUAUGAAUAUUUAAUAUAAUUGAUUUUCGAAAAUAUGACCUUAAUUAUAUUAUACCAAAUUUAUUAUAUAAUUUAUAGGGACAUUUUUAAAAUAUCAAAAUAUUUACCCGCUAUAACAAAAUUGAUUUUCCUUCUUCUUUCUUUAUCCUUUCUAUUUAUUUUUAUUUUUGUAUAAUGAGUUACUCUAAAUUAUCCACCCCCAAUAACUAUGUUGGGUGAGUUCUAUCUUUCGGUCAUGUUCUUAAUUUUUUUGUUUAUCAUAUCUUAUGGUCUGUUAGAUUUCACCCUAAUACAAAUAGUAUUUUGUUUCAUUACGACAUAUUUCGAUCAUCUUAUUCAUUUUUUUUGUUUAGUAAAGAUUCCGUGAACAAUAUAUACAUUUAUAAUCUAAUUCUCUUAUGUGAUUUAUCAGAUAUAUACAUCUGCAUAUUUUUAAUAAUACAUAAGUUGUGACACGUACAAUUAUUUUAUUAACGUUAGUGCAUAUUUGUUUCAUUAAACUUAUUUAUUUAUUUUUUGUUUCUUAAUGUGUCAUCAACAAAAUAAUAUAUUUAUGUUAUGUGAUUUAUUAGAUAUAUACAAUGAUAUAUUUUCAAUAAAACAUAACUUCUAUCACAUAUAGUUUCAUUAUUUAUCAUUGCAUAUACAGAUGAUGUUAUCAAUAUAUACAAUAAUAUGUAUAGUGACUCAUAUAGUUCUAUUAUUUCUUGUCAGGUAUGACCAAAAUUUCUAUAUAUUUCAAUGGUUUUUUUUCAAUAAUUUAUGUUAUCAACAUAAUAGAAUUAAUCACGUAUAUAUUUACAUAAAGUAUCUAAUAAAUGCAAAUCUUAAUCUAUUUUUCUUAUUUCAUUUUUAUAUUAUUAAUAAUAAAUAUGAGUAAAUUGGUCAUUUGGACUCUACAUUUGUGUACGUGAGAGGUUUGUAAAUAUUUUUGCCAAUUUUUUCAUUUUGAAGAAUUUUCCACUUUCUUGAUCCACCUAUAAUUGUUAUCUUAGUUUCUUCUUCUUCUUCUUCUUUUUUUUUUUUUUGAUUUUUAAUAUCCACACACCAAAACAUGGAUGAUUAUUGAACUGAAAACCCAACCCAACUCCAAGACACUGACAGAUAGAGCCUAACGGAUAUUAUUUUGGCUGAAUUCCACAUCCAAUCUCCAUCUCACAAAAAAAAUGGAGAAUUGGUUCAUCGUCCUCGUCUCCUUCUCCAUCUGCUCUCUUCUCACCUCCAUUUUCACCCUUCUCCGUACCUCCUCCAAGCUUCCACCAGGCCCUCCUUCAAUCCCCAUCCUCACCAAUUUCCAGUGGCUCCGCAAAUCCACCCUCCAAAUCGAGUCUCUACUUCGUAGUUUCGUCGCAAAAUAUGGCCCCAUCAUCACCCUCCCCAUCGGCACCCGCCCCGUCAUCUUCAUCGCCGACCCCUCCAUCGCCCACAAGGCCCUCGUCCUCAACGGCGCCCUCUUCGCCGAUCGUCCACCGGCGCUACCUGUUGCCAAGAUCAUUACCUCCAACCAACACAACAUUAACUCUGCCUCUUACGGCCCACUCUGGCGCCUCCUCCGCCGUAAUCUCACUUCCCAAAUCCUCCAUCCUUCCCGUCUCAAAUCCUACAGUGAAGCUCGCAAGUGGGUUUUGGAUGUCCUUAUUAAUCGGUUUGUUUCUCAGUCUGAAUCGGGAAAUCCCGUUUGUGUUAUUGAACAUUUUCAGCAUGCUAUGUUCUGUUUGUUGGUGUUGAUGUGUUUUGGGGAUAAGCUUGAGGAGUCCCUGAUCAAGGAAAUUGAAGACGUGCAUCGAGUUUUGCUUUUGAAUUUUCAACGUUUUAGCAAUCUUGAUUUGUUGCCUAAAUUGUCCAAGAUUUUCUUCCGAAAACGUUGGGAGGCAUUUCUUGAAAUCAGAAGAAAGCAAGAUAAAGUCGUCAUCCCAUUGAUUGAAUCAAGAAGAACAGCCAUCCAAAACAGAGCAAGCAGUGCCAAAAAUGAAGACAAAGAAGGUUUUGUGUUUUCAUAUGUGGACACACUGCUUGAUUUAAAGCUCCCUGAAGAGGACAAUAGAAAGCUCACUGAUGAGGAGAUGGUCACCCUGUGCUCGGAGUUCCUCUCCGGCGGCACCGACACAACUGCCACGGCGCUGCAAUGGAUAAUGGCAAAUUUAGUGAAGAACCCAGAAAUCCAGAAUAAGCUUUUGUCAGAAAUGAAAGGAGUGAUGGGAGAUGGAUCAAGGGAGGAGGUAAAGGAAGAGGAUUUGGAGAAACUACCAUAUCUGAAAGCUAUGAUUUUAGAGGGAUUAAGAAGACACCCACCAGGGCAUUUCUUGUUGCCACACGCAGUGAAAGAAGACACCAUAUUGGAAAAUUAUGUGAUACCAAAGAAUGGUAUAGUAAAUUUCAUGGUGGCGGAGAUAGGUUGGGAUCCAAAAGUGUGGGAAGAUCCGAUGGCGUUUAAGCCGGAGAGGUUCAUGAAAGGCAACGAAGGAGAAGGAGUUGAGUUUGAUAUAACAGGAAGCAAAGAGAUAAAGAUGAUGCCUUUCGGAGCAGGGAGAAGGAUGUGUCCUGGAUUAGGCCUUGCAAUUCUUCAUUUGGAGUACUUCAUUGCAAAUUUGGUAUGGAGAUUUGAGUGGAAGGAAGUAAAGGGAGAGGAAGUUAGUCUUUUGGAGAAGGUAGAGUUCACAGUGGUGAUGGAGAAGCCUCUUAAAGCCAACAUUAUUCCAAGGUGAAAAGCCUCUUAAAGCUUUGUGCCUUGUGAGUCCAAAUUAAAUGCAAAGGCAGGCUAAACACAACACAAGACUAAGGCUUUGCUUUCGCUACUUAGUUAUGUAAGAAAUUGAAUCAUGUAUUAGCACAAAUAUGAACCUGUUCUACUCAAUUAACUGCAUUUGCAUUAGGUACAAAAGAGAUAUGAGUAAAUUCAGCUUAAAUUAUAAGCUUGGUAGCUUGUGUCUAAAAGGUUUAUGAAGUUUAAAAAAUAUGAAAUAUAGAACUUACUAUUGGUUGAUUGUUACAUCAUGUUUUCAAAUUUGGUUGAUAAAGUAAAAGUAAGCUUAGUUUAAUUGAUAUGGUCUUUCUCGGUAUAGAUUGAAUGUUUCACCCACCAAUAUUAUACUAAAAUAUAUGAAUUGAUUAAUAUAUAUUUGUCAAAACUUUUGGAUUUAUUUAGUCUUUAUAGUUGGAUCAAAAUUCAUAAAUAGUAACUAUAGUAUGAUUUAAUAAAUCAUUCAUGUCUAGAUCUUACGCUGGACCUAUUUAAUUAUGAAUGUCUUAUCAAACUAUAGUGCUAAAUUCUAAUUAUAAAGCAUAGGAAUUGAACUAGGUUAUAAAUCUCUCCAAACCACCGUCAGAAAUAUCACCAACUAUCUAAGUGUAGCAUGCGCGAGGAUAUUUUGUUAAGUAAGUACAUCGUUGUACUUAUCUAUCAAGAAACAAUAAAAGUGACACACAAUUAACUUAACUCUUUACAAAAUCGUUUAUGCUGUGUCUAAGUGCAAGACCCCUCUCCAUUGAUCUUAGGCUUCCCUAAUAAUGUGUAUUAGUGAAUAACAUUUAAGGUGAGACUCUUUCUCACUCAUACUUUUUAUCUUUCUCAGACACUCCUCCAUUAUCGAUUUAUGUGGGCCUCAGACCCACCCAACACUACCCUGCAUCCGUACCAGACAACAUCUUUACUUGUCUGGAAGGUUUGUUAGAGGCCACCCAAUAUAGAAUUAACUUUGGAAUUUCUAUGAUCGAUCCACAGAAAAGGAAGGUGCACCUCGAUAUAUGUUGUAACAUGCAUUUAAUUCUUUUAAGUCUAUCUUAACUUUACUUUCAUGUUCGCAGAAUCCCUUAAAUUCAGAUGUGAUAUUAGUUCAUUUAUUUUUCCUCUUAAACUUAGGGCGUGACGUGCCCACCAACUUGUGCUUAGUUGGUCCCAACCUACCUCUUACUAUCCAUUUCUAACUUUAUUGUGUCUAAUUUUACUUUAGCUGUUUUUGUAGUUAAUUACUUUCGAUAUAGUUAGAGGAUAUUAUCGAUCAUCGCACUUAUUUCACCUUUAAUUAACAAAUGAAUCCGGUUAAAAUCACAACUUAAAAAAUUCCUCCAAAUAUGUCCUUUGUACAAAGUACUAAAAUUGUAAUUUAAUUAACUUUAAAUAUAUAUACCUAAUGCAAAUGGAGUUGAUUGGGGUAGAGGUAGUUCGUAUUUGUGCUUAAUACAUAAUUAAGUAGUCAAAGCCAAGGUUUAGUCUUGACUCUUGGGAUUAAACUAAUCUAUGAAUUUGGACUUGUAAAUAACAAAUCACAAACCACAAAGCAGGCCAAAUUCACCUAGGAAUUAUGUCAGCUUUCAAAGGUUUUUCCAUCACCACUGUGAACUCUAUUUUCUCUCCCAAACUAACUUCAUCUCCCUUUACUUCCUUCCAUUCAAACCUCCAUACCAAAUUUGCAAUGAAGUACUCCAAAUGGAGAAUCGCCAGAACAAAUCCAGGACACAUCCUUCUUCCUGCUCCGAACGGCAUCAUUUUUAUCUCUUUGCUUCCUGUUAUAUCAAACACAGCUCCUUCUCCUUCACCGCCUUUCAAGAACCUCUCCGGCUUAAAUACCAUUGGAUCUUCCCACACUUUUGGAUCCAACCCCAUCUCCGCCACCAUGAAAUUUACUGUCCCAUUCUUUGGUAUCACAUAGUUUUCCAAUAUCGUGUCUUCUUUCACUGCAUGUGGUAACACGAAAUGCCCUGGUGGGUGUCGUCUUAAUCCUUCUAAAACCACUGCUUUUAGAUAUGGAAGUUUCUCCAAAUCCUCUUCCUUCACCUCAUCCUCUGUUGAUCCAUUUCCCAUUACUCCUCUAAUUUCUGCCAAGAGUUUGUUCUGGAUUUUUGAGUUUUUCACUAUAUUCGCCAUUAUCCAUUGCAGUGCUGUUGAGGUGGUAUCCGUGCCUGCGUUGAGGAACUCUGAGCAUAGGGUGACUAUUUCCUCAUUAGAAAGCUUUCUAUUGUCCUCAUUGGGGAGCUCCAAAUCGAGCAAUGUGUCCACAUAUGACACCACAAAUUCUUCUUUUUCUUCAUUUUGAGCUUUGUUGGCCCUGUUUUUAUUGGCCUUCCUUCGUUCUUCGAUCAAACGAUUUAGGACAUUCUCUUGGUUUUUUCUUAUUUGGAGAAAGGCCUCCCAACGUUUUCUGAGCAAAAUCUUUGUGAAUUUAGGCCAGAAAUUGAAAAUGUUGAAACGCUGAAAACUCAAUAUAAGCUCUCGCUCUACUUUCUCGACUUCACGAAUCUGGGACUCCUCAAGCUUAUCCCCAAAACACAUCAACACCAACAAACAAAACAUGGCAUAUUGAAAAUUCUCGACGACUAAGACGGGUAUUUUAGAUUGUGAGUGAGAUUGAAGGCGACUGAGAAGAAUAUCCAAAACCCACCUGCGAGCUUGGCUGUAGAAUACGAUACGAGAAGAAUGGAGGAUUUGGGAAGUGAGAUUGCGACGGAGGAGGCGCCAGAGUGGACCGUAAGAUGCAGAGCUAAUGCUGUAUUGAUUGGAAGAGAUGACCUUGCUCAAGGGAGGUGCCGGAGGACGGUCGGCGAAGAGAGCGCCGUGUUUGAAAAGAGCUUUAUGAGCAAUGGAGCGGUCGGCAAUGAAGACGACGGGGUGGUUGCCAAUAGGGAGGGUGACGACAGGGCCAUAUUUGGUGACGAAACUGCGAAGAAGAGAUUCAAUUUGGAGAGGGGAUCUGCGGAGCCAUUGAAAAUUAGUGAAGAUGGGAAUUGAAGGAGGGCCCGGUGGAAGGUUGGAGGAGGUUCGAAAAUGGGUAAAAAUGGAGGUGAGAAGAGAGGAGAUGCAGAGGGAAACGAGGAUGACGAACCAAAUCUCCAUUUCUUUUGUGCGUUGGAGAUGGAGAAUGUUGAAAUCAGCAAAAAAAAAAGAACCCCAUAGGCUAUAUAUAUGCUUGUGGCACAAGCAACAGAGGCCACACUUUUCUUCUUCUUUUCUUUUUGUUACUAUUAUUAGGAAAAAUAUAUAAUAAUAUAGUUGCAAAAGAUACUCAAUGAGAGGAAAAUGUUUUUGAGCUCCUAACAAAAUUAUAACGGGAAACAUGUCACUCUAUUUUCUAAAUUAUAAAAGUACCAAAUUUAAAAGUUGAUAAACUUACAUUUCAUGGUCAUAUGAUAAUCGUUUUAUAAUACUCAUUUUGUCAUAUUUGCAUAUGCAAAAAGUAAGUGUAGCUAUUUUUUUCUAAAUGUUUUUUUAUGUAAUAUUUUCUAAAGUUUUUACACAUAUAACAAAAUAAUUUGGAGAGAACAAAAUUAGAUACAACUUUUGAAGGAUGUGACUUAUAGACCAUGGCAAUAGUCAUAUUGGAUAUUUUCUUAUAAUCCUAAAUAUUUGGAAAAAACUUGUUGUGAAACUUAUAGUCAUAUCAACUAUAACCCUUUACUUUUCUAAAUAAAUGAAUUUAGACUUUUGUUCAAAGUUUCAUUGAGAAUUGUUCACCAAUUUACACAAAGUAAAACCACAAUUGAAUAUUUGAUAAUCAAUGCUAGGACAAUACAAAUUAUAAUAACUACAAACUUCAAGUUUUCUCACAAACUUCGUCGUAAGUACGACACACUCAAAUGAGAAACCCUAAAUCACUAAAUUAAAGUGUGUUCCCAACUUAUUCUCUUCGUUAAAGAAUGGUUGGCGUGGGAUCCUUGUUAGAAGGCAAAAGGAACAAGUUGAGAGCAUAAGAUGGAUAGAGAAAGCUUGAUAGUUUUGUUCUACCAUCUUAUCAUCUAAAGGCAGGAAAAAUUUUGAAAAUUUCCAUACGUACAAAAGUAUUGUAGGAGCACUACAAUAUGUAACAAUCACAAGACCUGAAAUAGCUUACUUAGUGAACCGUGUCUGUCAAUUUAUGCACAGUCCAAAACUAUCACACUGGCAAGCAGUGAAAAGAAUCCUUCGAUACCUCAAAGGAACAUUGAAACAUGGGCUGCUACUAAAGGAAUCUACCAACUUUACACUUCAGGCCUUUGCUGAUGUUGACUGGGCAUCACAUCCUGAUGACAGAAGCUCAACAUCCGAAAUAUGUGUGUACUUUUUCAGAAAUUUAAUCACUUGGGAUCUAAAAAGCAACAAACAGUGUUUAGAUCAAGUAUUGAAGUAGAAUUUCGUUGCCAUGCAAAUGUAGCCACUGGACUUGUAUGGUUAGCCUCUCUCUUCAAAGAAAUGAAGAUCCUUCUACCAAAACCACAAAUAUUGUGGUGUGACAAUCUUGGAGCUGCUCACCUAAGCGCAAAUCCAAUACUUCACUCAAGAACAAAACAUGUAGAGCUAGACAUUUAUUUUGUGAGAGACCUUGUUCUGCAACGAAAGAUUACAGUUCAACAUCUUCCAGCAACAAUUCAAGUUGCAAUUAUAUUGACUAAGCCACUAUCUGCACAUUCCUUCAUUCCACUUCGAGCAAAACUAGGUGUUACACAUGCUGCAGACAUUGGCUUGAGGGGGGAUAUUAAGGCUGCUCACUAACACACAUUUUAAAACUGUUACUAAACAGUUUAGUUAUUUACUGUUAUUAAACAGUUUGGUUGUUUACUUUUAUCACUAAAUUAACAAAAUAAUGAAAAUGAAUAGUGAGAAAAGAAUGUACUGUAGUCAUUAGUUGCCAAUCAAAAGGAAACCAGAAACUACUCACAAUUGUCAAUAAAAUUGGAAUUCAGGCCUUACUUUUGUAGCGUGUAAGAAAGGAAUGUAUUCGUUAAGUGCGAACUCUGUGGAAAGUGUUAAGUUAAUAAAGAGAAGUUAUGUUUGUUUCGCUCCAUUAGUAUUUGUACUUAUCGUUUAGUAGUUGAACUUAAGUUAAGUGUUGAAAGCUAAAGGGUUAAGUAUUUCCCUUACAAUGAGUUGUUAAAGUCCCUUAAGCCAUGCAAUGAGACAGGUUGGAAUGAGUUGUUUCGCUUACUAGGCGAUCAACACGUCAUCUCAGGAUGGGAUACGCGGUGAGUGUCUAGGUUGCACGUCCCCAUCUGGUCGCAGGAGGUAGUAUUUGGGGCAGGGCGUGACAAUUUGUAAUAUAGUUUAUUAGUGAUAAACUUUAACAAAUUUUGUUAUAUUUGCAAUUUUGUUUUUGGAAAUUUUGCUAUGUAUACUAAUACUUUAAGUAUAGUUGCUAUAUUUGUGUCUGUCUUUAUAUUUAUAGUGAAUUGCUUACUAAAUAAUUAACUUCAUUAGUGUUAUAUAUUUGGUAUUUUGUUAUAUUUAUGAAAAUUAAUCUAUAUAAUUUUGAUUAAUUUUCGUAAAUGUAACAAACACAAAAAUAUUUACAACAAAAUUAAAAAGCCCAUGAAGUCGAUAAAAUGUUUUCAUAAUUCUAGAUUUGGCUUUGAUAUUGCAGACGAUUCAUCACUUGUUCUUCUUCGUGUUUGCGAUUUAUUCAUCUUUUCUUCUAGACUUCUUCAGCUCCUCUUCCAAAUUUUGUUUCUUUUAUUUUUAAACGAUUUAUUCUUCUGUUUAAAUUUCAACAAUAUUCAAGAUUGUUUAAAAAGAAUAUUGAACUUCAUCAAAAUAUUAACUUUAUCUUUCUCGUAUUCAAGAAUAUUAAGAUUGUUUAAAUAUCACUUUGACAUGAUCUAAAUGAUCGUUUACCUAGUCAACAUGCUCGUUAGCAGGUCAACAUGAUCGUAUAUAUUUGAAGCCCCUUUUUCCUUUGUUUAAAAAGAACUACACGAUCGUGUGGAUAUGAUAUAAACAACAGCUUACCUUGUCAACAUGACCGUUUAAUAUGGUUAAUACAAUCGUUUAGAUUUGAAUCCAUUUUCACAUUAUUUAAAAAGAAUUACACGAUCGUGUAGAUGUAGUGUAAACGAUUGUUUACCAUAGUCAAUGCGAUCAUUUAGCGUAGUCAACACGCAAUUGUUUAUAUUUGAAGCAUGUUUUUUCAUCAUUAAAAAAAAAACUAUACGAUCGUAUUAAUACUACCUACACGGUCAUGUUAAUACUACCUACACGAUCGUGUAUCAUUUUCUACAAGAUCAUGUAUAAUGUUCGUUUAGAAAAAUAAUUAUACGUGUGAGUGUGGACGAUUAAUGACUUGUUGACAUUUUAUUGUAUUUCAUAUUGUGGACUACGAGUUGUUAUAUUUUUUUUAAAACCCCCUAUUAUUUUUAUAAUAAUAAUUAUUUAUAUUUGUAAAUUAUUAUUCAUAACUUUAAACAUAGUUUAACUAAUUAAAAUUAGUGAUAUACUAUUGUUACUUAAAAAAAGAGUACGUGUUUGAAUGGACGCCAUCAACAAACGCAAUGUCAAUGUGCUUCGAUGGAACCUAUCAACUUCUAAAUUCACUCAUAACUCAUAUCUCUAUUUUCCUUUUUUUUUUUUCAAUGUCAACUCCCACUUUUCUUUUUCGUUUUUAUUUAACUAAUAUUCUUCUAAUUUGCUCACUUCAAAGUUGAAAAACUAACAUGGAACUGCGUUGACAACACCAUACAUAACAAUACAUCAUUUUUAUAUUGGAUUCAAUCCCAAACAAUUUACACAAAAAUGGAGAUCUGCUUCAUCCUCCUCAUCUCCCUCGCCAUCUCUAUUUUCCUCCACUCCAUUUUUAACCAUUUUCGAAGCUCCACCAAACUCCCACCAGGCCCUUUCUUCUCCUUUUCCAUCCUCACUGAACUCCUAUGGCUUCGAACAUCCUCCCUCCACAUCGAAUCUCUCCUCCGAAGCCUCAUUCCCAAGUAUGGCCCUGUCCUCACCCUCCCAAUCGGCCUCCGCCCAGUCAUUUUCAUCGCCGAUCACUCCGUUGCCCACAAUGCCCUUGUCCUUAACGGUGCUCUCUUCUCCGACCGUCCACCCGCCCUUCCGGUCAGCAAUGUCGUCUCCAGCAAUCAACACGACAUCAGCUCUGCCUCUUAUGGCCCACUCUGGCGCCUCCUCCGCCGCAAUCUCACUUCCCAAAUCCUCCAUCCUUCUCGUCUCAAGUCCUACGCUCCAGCACGCAAACGGGUUUUGGAUAUUCUUCUUAAUCGCCUUCAAUCUGACUCUCAAUCUGGAACUCCUGUCUCUGCCACUGAUCAUUUUCGGUACGCAAUAUUGUGUUUGUUGGUGUUCAUGUGCUUUGGGGAUAAGCUUGACGAAUCCCAAAUCGAUCGAAUCAAGAAAGUAGAGCGAGUAAUCAAGUUGAAUUACGGUCGUUAUAACACUCUUAAUUUAUUCCCUAAAUUGACCAAGAUUUUGCUAAGAAAACGCUGGGAAGAGUUUCUUCAAUUAAGAAGGAAUCAAGAGGAAGUCAUUAUUCCUUUCAUCGAAGCAAGAAGGAAGAUCCAACAAAACAAAGAAAACAGAGACGAAAACAAAGAAGAAAUCGUGGUCUCGUACGUUGAUACGCUACUCGAAUUGGAACUCCCCGAUGAGAAAAGAAAGCUUACGGAUACCGAAAUGGUGACGAUAGCCUCUGAGUUUAUCAACGGAGGCUCCGAUACAACAUCCACAGCCUUGCAGUGGAUAAUGGCGAACUUAGUAAAAUACCCAGAAAUUCAAAACAAGCUUUUAGUAGAAAUGAAAGGAGUAAUGGGAGAUGGAUCAGAGGAGGAAGUGAAGGAAGAGGAUUUGGGGAAACUUCCAUAUCUGAAAGCUGUGAUUUUAGAAGGAUUGAGGAGACACCCACCAGCGCAUUUCUUGCUGCCACAUGCAGUGAAAGAAGAAACAAAGUUGGGAAAUUAUGUGAUACCAAAGAAUGGAACAACGAAUUACAUGGUAGCAGAAAUGGGUAGGGAUCCGAAAGUGUGGGAAGAUCCGAUGGCGUUUAAGCCGGAGAGGUUCAUGAAAGGCGGCGAAGAAGGAAUUGAGUUUGAUAUAACAGGGAGCAAAGAGAUAAAGAUGAUGCCAUUCGGAGCAGGGAGAAGGAUGUGUCCAGGAUUUGGUUUGGCGAUUCUUCAUUUGGAAUAUUUUGUUGCUAAUUUGGUAUGGCGAUUUGAAUGGAAGGCUGUUGAUGGUGAUGAAGUGGAUCUGUCAGAGAAGGUAGAAUUGACCAUUGUGAUGAAAAAGCCUCUGCAAGCCAACUUACGCCCAAGGUUUUAGAUUUAAGAGUUGAUUCUUAUAUCCUGUCCUAAUUUGAAGUUUUAAGAUUGAAAAGAAAUUGUUCCCUUUGAGCUAAGAAAAAUGUUGAUUUGCUUUCAAUGUUGUUUAUAACUGUAAUGUUGGUUUUGAAUGAUUUGGAGUAAAAGUUGUAUGUUUGUGAUUACAAUCAUAGUGGCUCAUUUGAUAGCAUAUAGGAGUGAAUAUUGAUUUACCUUCAAUAGUUAAAAAAUGAUAAAAGCUAUGAAUGUAAUUAAUAAACAUUGAAAUAAUAAAGUUAUUCCUCACUCUCGCCCAUGUAAAUUAACUUAGAGAACAUAUCCAAAUGGAUAGUAUUAUUUUUUAACACAUUCAAAUUUAAGGCAAGUGGAUAUGAUUAUCAUAUUAACAAAAUCACAUUUCUAUUUAAUGAUCUUCUAAGAAACAAACGUUCUAGACAUAAAAUCUCAAACCUAGUUUAUUAAUCUCUUGUAAACCAUGCAUGUCUCCCAACUUGAUUGACACAUUAUUGGGUGGCUACAAACAUUCUCUCUUACAAUUAUGAGAUUAAUGUUUCCACAAUCAAAUUAAAUUUGAAUUUGAAAAGUUGGGCUCUAAAUAUAUACAACUCUUGAAAAUAAAGACACUAAAUCUUCUUCCCAGGAAGACGAUUAGGCAUCGGUUAAGGUAUUCUUUGGCUUUUUAGUUUCUCUGUCUUUUAAUGACUGCAUGAGCGCAUGAUUGCACCCUAAAAACAAUUUAAGAAUCUAAAUCUUAAAAAAAAUGCAUGAGCAAAUUCUCUCAAUACCAAACUGAUAAAUUUGAUUUAUAGUUUCUCCCAUAAAAGAAUUACGAUGAAAUCUCAUGAAAUAAUUUUUAACCUGGACAAAUACAUACAGUUGUUAGUUGAGCUAAGGUCACGUGAGCUAGCUUUUACGAAUUCAUCAAAAUUUAAAAACUUUAAAUUACAAACUUUAAAUUCAACUCAUUAAAAUUAAACACAAUAACUAAUUUAAUCUCAAUAAAAUUUAUAAACCCAAAAUUAUAAACAAAAUUUCUUGAUGGACAAUACCCAUCAAUAUAUCAUUUUUUUGGAUGGACCUUACCCAUGAUCUUAUUUUUUUGUCUUUGUCCAUCAAGAAACAUUACACUCAUCAAGAAAAUUCUAAAUCCAUAAAAAAAUUCAAAACAAAUAUAUAUAUAUAUAUAUAUAUAUAUAUAUAUAUAUAUAUAUAUAUAUAUAUAUAUAUAUAAUUAAGAAAAUUCAUUCCUUGAUAGGUCUCGUCCAUCAAGAAAACCUAACUAACUUGAUUUGUCAGUCAACUAAUAUAUUUUUCUUUGAUGUUUAUUGUCCAUCGAUAAAUAAUUUUCUUGACGUUUGUGGAUAAUUAACAAAUUAAGGAAACUUUGCCCAUCAAGGAAAUCAAGAAUCCACAUUUUUUUGUAUUUCUUCAACAAAAUAAGGGAAAUUUUCUUGACAUACAUGAUCAUUAAGAUAAACAUUAUAUCAAGAAAAAUAUGGUUCUUUGCCAUGACCAUCAAGAAAUCAAAAUUUUCAUGCAUCAAGGAAGACCAAAUUUGUAGUAGUGUGAAUUGAAAGAGUCUGACACGAAUCACUCGAUGCUAAAUCACAAAGAGUGAAUUAGGAUCAAGAUGACAACAAAAUAGUCAAAAUAUUAGGAGCUUUACAAGAAGCGAUGUCUUUUUAAUUUACAACUUGGGAGUGUGUUAUUGUAAUGCCCUAAGUUUAGGAAGGGGAUACGAAUGAAGUGAGAUAUCAUGUGUGAAUGAAAGAGAUUCUAAGGACAUGAAAGUUGUGAGAUUUGUUUCUAACUUCAGUAUGAGAAAUAAAAUCUGGUUAAGAGUUUUAAAAUUGGCGUUUUGGAGAAGAGGAGGUGUUUUGAAAUAAGACUUCACGAUAAGAAGUUGACAUUUAAAUCAAUCAGCAGAAAGGAUUAAGUGAGAAAAUCUUAUAUGAUUAAGUAUAAGUUUUGUAAUUAAGAAGUUAGUCCACGAGGGAGUCUUGAGAAGAGAAGGAUUUGUGAUAAAACCUAUAAGUCUAAACACUCUCAAAAGAAAUAGUCUUCAUGGAAAAAUGUUAAGGUUGGGUAGUCUGCAAAAGAAGUUAUUACGUUAAGACCUUUGAAAGUUAUAUUAAGUGGUUGAAGUUAUUCGUGGAAUGAAUGGAGUUAGGUGAGAAGAAAGGAAUGACGAGAAAAUGUCAAAUAUAAUUUGACAAAAGUUAACGUGUAAGAUUAAGAAUUUAAGCAUAACUGAGUUAGAUAUUAAAUAUACACGUGUAAAGUUUUAAGCAAAAGUUGAUGAGCUGAGAAGAGUUAAGCAUGACUAAGCUAGUUUAAAGGUUCUAUAAAUAGAGGGCUUGGUCAUUAAGUAAGCAUGAAUAUUUUACUAAAAGGCUAAACUGCUGCUGUUUACUUUGGCGAAAAGAAGAAGAAGAACAAAGGGUUAAAUGUCGCGGUUUGUUUCGCAGAGAAGGCUAUGCUAGAAGGCUAAGUAUUUGUUAUUGAUCUUUUGCUUUAAAGUGUUCAUACGAUUUCAAAAUGUGUUUUAUAAUGUUUAAAGAAUUAUUUUGAUUAUUGAAAUUUAAAUUAUUAUAAAAUAGUGUUCAAACCAUUAGUUGCUUCCUUAAAUGAGUUAAUUGUUAUGUGCAUAUCUAUAAAAGUAUAUAUAAAAGUGUGUAUGAGGAGAAACUUUUUGUUUUCAAUUUUGGCAGUUUUGUUUGUUUCGUACUUGGAUUUUAUUGUAAUUUGCUUUACAUUUACUUUUAAUUUGAAAUUAAUUAUUGAAAAAUAUUUGGACAUAAAUAAUUUUAACAUUUUCUCUUCAAUUAAUUAUAUCAUUAAAAUUUCUCCAAAAACCAUUCUCAUUCCCUUAACUUCUACCUAUUCACAUUCAACUUUCUUGCAAAUUAAUUAUUUUGUAGUUACUUCAACCUUUAAAUUUCUUUUUCCUUUUCAAAUCUUCUCAUAUAAAUAUCACAUUCUUUUUCUUUUCUAUGCAUGCUCACAAUGAAAAGUUAAUAUAGUGUGAAGAAAUUAGUCUUCCAACAAGUUUAAAUAAAGAUUUGUGAGCCAAAGUUAUUACAAAAGAGCCCUGAACCCUUCAUCAUAUUUUUGCAACGUCUAGGAGCAACCAAUCAACCCAAUGUAAAAGAUGCAUAGAAAUUGAUGAGAAUUCAAGGAUGAAUAAUGUAAAAGUGGGAGACUAAAGAGAGAACUGUCAUAGACAUCAUUUCCAAAAAAUAAUAAAGUGACGUGCGAAUGCCAAAGAACUAUUUUUUAGUUUUUAAUUAUUGCUUUUGCUCAUGUUAUUUUUUUUCAUUUAAUUAAUUUUUUUUAUUAAUAAAAUGGUGAAAUGUGGUUAAUACAUUUUUAUUGUGUUUGAAUUAUGUAACUUUUGUUCCAAUCUAUCUAUUAGUUAUAGUUAAAGGUAAUACAAUGUGUAAAAGUAAUUAUUAGUUAUAGUUAAAGAUAAUACAAUGUGUAAAAGUAUAAAUAUAAGAGUAGUAUCUCCGUUCUGUCCUAAAAAAUUAAUUUAAAAUAAUAAAAACUUUAAAUUUAAUUAUUUUAGAAUUUUAAAAGUGUUAGAAGUUUGAAUAGUUUGAUCAAGUAAUUAUUAAAAAGUCAUAACAAAUUUAUAAUUUAACAAUAAAUUAUAAUAAAUUUAAAUUUUUGAAAAGUUUGAAAAUUUUAAUAAUUUAACCGACUACUCAACUCUUGAAAUUAAAUAGACCAUCUUAGCGUACAUUUUUCUAUAAAAAUCUUGUAUGUGUAUUUGUUUUUUCUUUUUCAAACUCAACCCUGUUUCAAAAUUAGUUGUUUGAUGUAUAAUGUACUAGAGCAUAAAAGAUAAUCGCAUUUUUUUUAUAAAAAGUUACGUGUGUUUAUUUUUGUUUUUCUUGACAGAUAAUUUAUUUAUUUGGUAUGAUAUAAGAUAUUAGAUAAGUGUACUAAGUUUUUUUUUUCCUUCCUAUAAUAAAUUAUAAAGUAAGUGCUUUAAUAAAUAAUGUAUAAUUAUAUUUGAAAAAGUAAUUUUAAAUUUGAUUUUAAACAUCAACAAGUAAAUAAAAGAAAAAUUAUCUCAAGUGCAUAUACUAAUCUCUUCCCUCCAAUAUAUGUUUUCACGUUUUCUUUAAUGAAUACAAUCUUCUUCCUACCAAGAAAUGAUAUAAACUUUGAAAAAAAAUAUUUUUAAAAUGAAAGUGGUAUGUUUUACUAAAAACAAAGUUUUGUUAUAAUUCAAGAAUUUAACAUUGGUUGUAAGUUUAUUUUUUAAUGCAUUAUAUCUUAUAGAAUAUACUAAACCUUAAACAUUAACGUAAAAUCAAUUUUAAUUUUCUCCAUUUUCCACUCUCAUUUUGGAAUACUUAUGAAAACAUUUUUUUCUUUAAUAAACUCAUUAUCCAAUAAUUUUAAUGAUAACAAUAGUAAUAUAUCUUUUAUACCUUUUAUUUUUAAAUGAUGUAUCUUUUGUACUUUUGAAAAUUAAUUUUGUUUAAUUUUGUUACACGUGAUUUUUUUUUAUUUUCAUAUUUUUUACAUUCAUUUAACAAGUUGAAAGAGUCACGUGCUAUACACAUGUUGAAUGACUAGUAAAGUUAGAGGUAACCAUGUAGAAAAGGCCUGCAUGGUGGAAUGAAGUCAACAAAUGUAGAAAAGAACUACAUUGUGCUAGGCAGCCUGAGUAACAAAAACGAAUUUGUAUGUUCUUGAAUGCUAUUGAUAUAAUAGUCUAAACGUGAAGUAAUGAAACCAAACAUAAAAAACGAUUCGAGAUCCUUGACGAAAUGAAUGGUUGUAGUGUACACCAAAAAAUAUUUUUUUUGAUCGAGACACAUUCUUGUGGUUUUGCAUUAAGGUUAUCUCUGGAUUAUGUUUGCUUCAAUGAGAAUUAGCUUGCAAUUGGUCAUGGUGAUGAUCGAGCACUUGCGGUAUUUUGUUUUUUUAUUUUUUAUUUUCAAGCAAUUUCAAUUGUGAUUUCGAUUGUGAACUUACAUUAAUGUGUUUACGCAAUUCUUUCAAUUUUGCUAUGAGGUUUCCAUCGUUCAUCAAGGAUUCACUUGCAAUUUGGUGAUUUUGAAGAAUACAAACCCAACGCUGAGUUGCUUUUCAUUUGUCGAAAUAUGUUUAUAGGUGAUUUUGAAGGUGUAUUCGUCUGUUAUAUAAUUGAGAAUUGUAAGAAAAAUGUGUACGUUUUGAAGUACAUACCGAUACCAUGUUGCACAAUUCGCAAUUAUAUGUUUAAUAUAGGACAUUAUUAAUCAAACAAUAAAUAAGAAACAAUUAUCAAAUACGUUUUUUGUUUCUGUUUUUUAUUUUUUUAGAAAAGAAACAGAAAUUAUCAAACAAGGAGAACAGAAACUUACCAAACUAGCCCUAAAUCACGUUCUUAAGUUCUUGGAAAACAUGAAACAUAAACUAAGAAAUAGGUAGGAAAUCGGAAGGGAAAUAUUAUUAAAUAGGGGUGAGUAGCCAAAGGAAAGAUUUAGGUUCACAUUUCACCGGGGAUUUAUUUUGGCUUUAAGAGGCUUUUCCAUAACCACCGUGAAGGCCACCUUCUCCGACAGACUAACUUCCUCUCCCUUCACCUCUUUCCAUUCAAACUUCCAUAUCAGGUUCCCAAUGAAAUAUUCCAUAUGAAGAAUCGCUAGUUCAAAUCCAGGACACAUCCUUCUCCCUAUUCCGAAUGGCAUCAUCUUUAUCUCUUUGCUCCCUGUUAUAUCAAACUCAACUCCUCCUCCUCCGCCUUUCAUGAACCUCUCCGGCUUAAACUCCAUCGGAUCUUCCCACACUUUUGAAUUCCAACCCAUCUCUGCUACCAUGAAAUUCACUGUCCCAUUCUUUGGUAUCACGUAAUUUUCCAACACCGUGUCUUCUGUCACUGUGUGUGGUAGCACGAAAUGUCCUGGUGGGUGUCUUCUUAAUCCUUCUAAAACCACAGCUUUUAGAUAUGGGAUUUUCUCCAAGUCUUCUUCCUUCACCUCUUUCCCUGGUCCAUCUCCCAUUACUUCUUUCAUUUCUGAGAAGAGCUUGUGCUGGAUUUCUGGGUUUUUCACAAUAUUCGCCAUUGUCCAUUGCAGAGCCGUGCAGGUGGUGUCGGUGCCCCCGACGAGGAACUCAGAGCAUAUGGUGACUAUCUCCUCAUUAGUAAGCUUUCUAUUGUCCUCGUGGGAUAGCUCCAAAUCGAGCAAUGUGUCCACAUAUGAUAUCGCGAAUUCUUCUUCUUCUUCCGUGUGGGCUCUGUUUACUCUGUUUUGAUUGACCUUCCUUCGAGCUUCAAUCAAAGGAAUUAGGACCUUUUCUUGGUUCCUUCUCAGUUGGAUAAGCAUUUCCCAGCGUUUUCGAAAUAGAAUCUUAGUGAGUUUAGGCCAAAAAUUGAGAAUGUCGAAAGGUGAAAAACUCAAUAUAAGCGCUCGCUCCACGUUCUCGAUUUCUCGAAUCUUGGAUUCAUCAAGUCUAUCCCCAAAGCACAUUAGCACCAACAAACAAAACAUGGCGUACUGAAAGUGCUCCAUGAAUAAGACGGGGUUUCCAAAUUCAGAAUGAGAGUGGAGGCGAUUGAAAAGAAUAUCCAAAACCCACUUGCGAGCUUUAGUGUAGGAACUGAUACGGGAAGGAUGAAGGAUUUUGGAAGUGAGAUUGCGGCGGAGGAGGCGCCAGAGUGGGCCGUAAGGAGCGCUGUUGAUGUUGUGUUGGUUGCUAGAGACGAUCUUGGUCAUGGGUAGGGUGGGUGGACGAUCGGCGAAGAGAGCACCGUUAAUGACGAGGGCCUUGAAGGCAAUGGAGCGGUCGGCAAUGAAGAUGGCGGGGCGAUUGCCAAUGGGGAGGGUGAUGACAGGGCCAUAUUUGGCGAAGAAACUGUGGAGAAGAGAUUCAAUUUGGAGAGGGGAUUUGCAGAGCCACUGGAAAUGAGUGAUGAUGGGAAAUGAAGGUGGGCAUGGUGGAAGCUUUGUGGAGCUUCGAAAAUGGGUAAAAAUAGAGGUGAUCAAGAGAGUAGAGAUGCAUAGGGAAACGAGAAUGAUGAACCAAAUCCCCAUUUUUGUCUUUGUGUUUUGGAGAUUGAAUGUUGAAUUCCACCGAGAGAAUUUAUAGGGGCGCUUGGUGCGAAAAUUAAAUGUUUGUGGGCUUGUUCGGUGUGUUCUAUGGUUCGAAAUUAUACAUAGUUACUCUUGGAGCGGAGGAUUUAGAAAUAUGGAUUUUUUAUGUCUGUGUUUGGAGUACUAGUUUUGAAUGAAUGGAUUGAACUAAUGAGAUACUUGCAAAAUGAUAAAAUAAGUUAUAAUAAUUAAGUUUAUAGCACACACAUUUUAUUAUUUGCAAAAAUAGCAAAAACGAACGAAGCCCAACCCAAACAUCAAGUGGUAAAAUAUCACAAAUACCCUUGUUACUAAUAUAUGUUUGAUACACCUUAUACACGUCUGAUAUACCUAAUACACCUCUUAAUACACCUUAUACUUCUUGAUACAUCCAAUACAUUUGAUUGAUACACUUGAUACAUCUGAUACUCUUUGAUACACUCGAUACCGAAACAUUACUAAUAUAUGUUUGAUACACCUGAUACACUGCAGAUACAUUUAGUAUUCUUCACUUAUACAAUCAAUUGAUUUAAUGCAUUUGAUAUGCUUGAAGUCCUACUUAUACACUUGAUAUACACUUGUAAACUUGUUUCAUAUACUUGAUAUUGAUUCACUUUACUGAUAUGUUUUAACAAUAUAUUGUUGAUAUACUUGAUAAUGAUAUACUGAGUUACAUCAUUCAUAUACUUAAUAAUACUCUAAUGAACUGCAUAACAUUUGAAAAAACGAAAAUCACAUAGUAAGUAUAUUAACCAACUAAUACAUAUAAUAUAAGUAUAUCACAACACUGAUAUACGAAAUUGAGACAAAGUAAAACCAAAAAAUUAAUGUAAAAAAACAAAACAAAAUCAUUUGGAAUCAAAUUCAAAUGAUUAUGACCUUCAAAAGUGAGAGCAUAAAUAAAUAAUGAGUAGGACAUUAAAAAGAAGAAGAGAAAUGAGUUAUUGAAUGGUAGUUUAGGAAUAAUAUCAAAUUUAAGAUGGAAAAGUGAAAAUUUUGUCAUAUUUGCAAAAUUCUAAAACAAUAUACUAUAAUUGCUAUAUCAUAUUCUCAAAAUACUAUCAUAUGCAAUUUUUCUUAAUUAAUUAAUGUAUCAAAUUUUUAAUUGAUUCAUUUCCUAUAUUUUCUAACUCUAAUUCAAUUGAUGGACUCUAUUGAUUUUCAUGAAAAUAAUAUAAAAAACAAAAAAAUUUAACAUUUGAUAAUAAUAAUUUUGAUUAUUGUUGCAUUAACAUGAAUAGUCUAAUUAGGAAUCUUACAAAUCAUUCACAUAAUAUAACAAUUAUAUAUUUGAAUAAGUUAUAAAAAUUCUAGUUAAACAGCGUUAAAAAUGGUCUAAUAAGUUUCAAUAUAAUUAUAACCAAAAGGUUCAUACAAAAGUGAAAAGUGAAGUAGAGUUAUAUUUACCUAUGCAUAGUUAUGAUUGUCUUUUUAUCAUAUUUGAAAUCCAAUCCGAUUUCACCCUAAUAUGCAUGCAUAUUUUAAAUCCAAUCUGAUUUGUAUAUAUAGCACAUGUUUUAAAGAUGUACUAACAUUUGGUGAAAACGGUCGUUGAUCAAUGGUAAAAACAAUCACAUGUUUUAGAUUUUAUCAAUCAUAAGAUAUUGUCGAAAGCAGAGCAACAACUGCAUAUGCGUAUGACAUUUCUUUAGCUACUUGCUUGAUUCAACUUGCUUAAAAGAUCUGCUUAGAAAAUUGAGGUUGUUUGUGUUUAUGGGUCACCCAAUUGCUGUCAAGAGUUUGUCCCAAAUUAUUUCUGUAACCUUACAAUUCAGAAGAAGGUGGUUGAAGUCUUCAUCAUUGGCAUACCCAAAGUAUCCAAAUAUACAUAUUGAAAAUAUGAAGUUUGAAAAAUGAAAAGAAAUACAUAAAACUAAAAUUAAAAACAAAUUGAUCAACCUGACUUAAAAAUGAUAGCCAGGACAGAGACAUGUGCUUGGGUGACCCAAGGCUGCAGGCAUUGAGCGUACUGAAAACAACAACAGUAUAAAUUGGCCACCUCUUUUUGUAUAGCAUUUAAAAGUUUUAUUUUUCCUUUCUUAAAAUAUGCUAUACAAAAACUCAAAACUCAAAAGAUACUAUUUCAUGUGCUGCUUCAGUAGAUACCUUUUAUUUUUCAACUUUUUUCUCUUUUAUGGUUCAAUCAAUUAUGAACUAAUGCCUAUGAAGAUUUACGGCCAAAUUUAGUUGUUAAAUUAUAUGUUUGAAUCUUCCUCAUGAAUCUUAAAUUUCUACUUGGAUUAGAGUUUCUAAAUGCUAAUUCGUCUAAGGAGAUGAAAAGUUUUAAAGAGAGAAAGAGAGAAAUAUUUGGAGAACCACACUUGGGUUUGUCGCUUAUCAUGGGGCCAAAUAAAAUUAGGGCUAAAUAAGAUAAAAUGGCAAUAAGAAAAUAAUUAUAAAAAUAGCAUAAUCAUUAAAAAAAGAAUUCUCAACAUUCUAUAUCGAUAAAAGUUCAUCGUUAAAAAGACCACAACCACACUGAUAAUUGGAGAGCUGCAAUGUAAUGUAGAUUAUUAGAAAUUAAGGGAGUUAAAAAACAUGAAUAGAGAAUAAAAAUGAGAUCAUGAAAACAUUGAAGAAGAGGGUUGAAUUGAAAACUGUCGAAAAGAUAUGAAUUUUGUGUAUUACAAAUUGGGUCUAAAACUUUCGAACCAAACAUGAAUUUUGGAUUACUUUGUAGUUUGUUAUCCAAUGUUUUACUCAUGUAUUCAAAAGGUUUUGUUUUUGUAACUUUCUCCACGACAUGCAUCUGGAAUUUAAACAUAUAGCCUAUGGUUUUGGAAUUUAAACAUAUAGCCUAUGUAUUCAAAAGGUUUCGUAGCAAUUAGAGCAACAAAUAGAUGAAAUAAUAUCUUUCGACUUCUUCCAUAGCAUAUCUAAAAUGAAAAAGAAAAAGCUAUCUUUAAAAGAUGUGGCCAAUUUAGAGUGUUGUGUUUUCUUAUGCUCAAUACCAGCCUUGGGUCCUCAUCCAACCACAGCCUCUCUCAGUCUGUCCCUGCUGGCUAUGAUCUUCUUCAAGUCAGUUUAAUUUCUUUUAAUUUUGGUUUUAUAUUUAUUUUCUUUUUUCCAACUUCAGAUUUUCAAUAUGUAUAUUUGAGUAUAUUUUCUCAAAUUUUGAAUUAUGUUUGUGUAUUGUUUUAAAUUUAACUUUAUUGUUUUUGGUAUAGAUCUUAAAGGGGCAUUUUUAAAAACAGAUAAAAACUUUUUUUUACCAAGACAUUCAUUUAAAUAUUUUGCAAUUACAAAAUUUACAUAAUAUUAUAAUUGGAAUUUGAGUUCACAUUAUCAUUUAGAAAAAAAUAGCUUGAGUGAUAAAUAAUCUUGCACGUCAAAUUUUAAGUAACUUAUGUGAAUGAUAGAAUCAGUUGUCAAAUUGUAAUUAAUCUUUAUAUUUGACAUUAAUGUAAACGUUUUACAAUUAUGAUUUUAUAUUUUAAUGCAUGCUAUAUACCUUUUUUAUUUUACAUAAUUAAAUGGUUAAUAUACGUUAAUGUAACAAAAACUCCUAAAUAUCUAAUAGUUAUAUGCAUAAAUGGCACAAGGAAAAAAUUUUAACUAAUAGCAAAUAUAGCACAAAGAUAAAAUAAAAGCAUUUAUAAGAUAAAAGUAGUAAAAUAUCACCAAAAUGCCUACAUCCAACCAUCAUUUUGAACUUUUUUUUGGUCAAAUUUAUCAAUUAAAAAACUAUUACCAAUAGCAUUUAUCAUUGGUAGUUGCUAUCACUGAUAUAUGCUAUUACGGAUAGAUUUCAAUUUGAGAAAUUUUCACACACUUCUUGAUUUUUUUCAUGUUGAAAGUUAUCACUAAAAUCUACUAUGAGUGAAUAUCACUAAUAAUUGUUAUCAAUUGUUGUCACGGAUAGCUACAGUACAAUCAAUUAGCUAUCAGUGAUAAUUAACUUGUAAUCAUUACAUUUUUUUUUUCUUAAAUUGAAAUUGAUCAUUCAUAGCAAUUGAUAACGGAUAUAUGUUGCUAUCACUAAAUAAAAACUAUCACUAAUAGCUUUUAAUUUGAGAAUGAAAAUAAUGAGUAUGAACGAAACCUUUUGAUGCACGAGCAAAACAUUGGAUAACAAAUUAAACGGCAAAGUUAUAUCCAAAAUAGAGGUAUGGUUUGAAAGUUUUAAACCCAAUUAGUAAUACAAAAUUCCUUUCUUUAUGACAAUUUUCAAUUCAAUCAUUUUCUUCGAAUGUUUUCACGCUUCAUGAUUUCAUUUUUAUUCCGUAUAUUCGAUUAUUACUCAUCUUUGAUGUUUUCAAUGCUCAUUUGUUAAUUACCACGGUGGUUGUGAUCUUUUCACGAUGAUUUUAAUAUUUUUAUAAUUAAUUUUUUUAUUGCUAUGGGUGUAAAGUAAACAUUUAAUUUUGUUAUUCAUAUUAUUCAGCCCUAAAUUUUAUUUCAUCCCAUUAUAAGUUGACAAACCCUAGCGUGGUUCUCCAAAUAUUUCUCUAGUUGUCUCUCUCUAAAACUCUUCACCUCCUUAGUUGGAUUAGCAUUUAGAAACUCUAAACCAAGUGUGGAAGAUUCAAACAUAAAACAAACCGUAAAUCUUCACAGGCAUAAAUUCAUAAUUGAUUGACCCAUGAAAAAGAAAAUAGUUGAAAAAUAUGAAACUAAAAUUUGAAACAUAGCAUAUUUUAGCCCAAAAAAAAAAAGAAGUACUAUUGUUAAUUAAAUGCUAUAGAAAAAGAUGUGGCCAAUUGAGAGUGUUGUAUUUUUUCAUAGUCUGAAUAUAGCAGCCUUGGGCGAUGCAAGCACAUACUGUCCGGCUAUUGUUUCCAUCUCAGUAUAAUUUAUUUUAAUUUUAGUUUUAUAUUUGUUUUCAUUUUUCAACUUCAAAUUUUCAAUAGGUUUUUUUCAAAAAUAUUACAAAACACACAUAUAUUCAGACGGUAUAGAACAAUUUCGAAAAUAGACAUAUAAUGUAAAAUAUAAAAAAUGUCUAAAUCAACGCGCGAUUAAUUGGCUACUUGUGCGAAUAAUAUAUCUGGUACAUUGUCACUGUUGUUUAGAUUUGGCUACAUGAUCACUAAAUGAUUUUUUUUUCAAAAUUAUUUGGUACACGAUCGUUUAAAUUUGGUGAUCGUUUACCUUUUGUUGUUUAGAUUUCGAUACCAAAUCCCAAAUCUACAUUAUUGUUUUUUCAAGAUUCUUUGCUAGAUAAUCGUUUAGAUUUGGUUAAACGGUUUUUUCUAAGAUUUUUUGUACACGAUCAUUUAGAUUUGACUAUCAAAUCUUAACGAUUUUUUUUUUCAUAUUCUUUGAUACGCGAUUUUUUCAACAUUUUUUUUCAAGAUAUUUUAUAUUUAGUAUACGAACUUAAACCAAAUAACACUUUGAAAAAAGUUAAUACAAUAUUUAUGAUUGAUUGAAAAAAAUCACUAUUUCAAAAAAAAAAAAUUAUGAUGUGGGUAAUGCCUUUGUGAAUAAGUACCCCAAGUUGUCGUUCGAAGAAAUUUGUUGAACACUAAUAUCACCACUUUCUUCAAGGUCAUGUAUAUAGAAGAGUUUUUGGUGAGAUUUGUUCUAUCUCCUUUUAUAUAUACCCUCAUUUAAUUUGUGUUACACAUGCAAUAUUGUUCUCAAAUAAUAAUGUUGGUGGAUUUUUAUUGAACGACAAACCACAUGUUUCGUGAAUAUGAUGAGUCAUUGACCUCAACCAUACACGUUCUCUACUAGCUUCAUGAAUUGCAAGAAUUUUUGCAUGAUUCGAUGAAGUGGCAGUAAUGGUUUGCUUUAAAGAUCGCCAAGAUAUAGCCGUUCCUUCACAUGUAAACAGAUAACCUAUUUGAGAUCUUGCUUUGUGUGGGUCCGACAAAUAUCCAACAUCUGCAUAACAAACUAAAUCAAAGUUUGAUUUGUUUGAAUAAAACAAACUCAUAUUAAUCAUCCCUCGAAGAUAGCAAAGUACAUGUUUAACUUUAUUCCAAUGUCUUUUUGUUGGAGAAAAACUAUAUCUUGCUAAUAAAUUUACAGAAAAUGCUAUAUUUGGUCUUGUGUUAUUAGCAAGAUACAUUAGUGCACCUAUUGCACUAAGGUAUGACACUUCAGGACCAAGUAAUUCUUCAUUAUCUUCUUUAUGUCAAAAGAUAUCAUUUUUCACAUCUAGUAAUCGAACCACUAUUAGAAUAUUCAAUGGGUGUGCUUUGUCCAUGUAGAAUUUUUUUAAAAUCUUUUUUGUAUAUAUCUGUUGAGCAAGAAAUUUCGGCCAAUUAAAUUUUGUCACAUCAUCACAGCAAAUAUUUACAUAAUUAUAUUUUAUUGGAUUUUGAUAAUUAAGUUUACUCAAUCCAAUCCAAUUCAAGACCAAUAAGCAGAUUAGCCAAGUUCAAGCUCAACAAGCGGAUGGAUCCAAGCCCAAUAAAGCAAAUGGGCUCAAGCCCAAGUUCAAAUCCAAUAAGGCAAAUGGGCCCAAGCCUAAGCCUAAUAGGCAAAUUGGUCAAAGUUCAAGCCCAACAAGCAAAUAGGCCAAAGCCCACCUAAAGCCCACAAAAUUUCUCUAUAAAUAUAGACAUUUGUCAUUCAUUUCAGGAGGUUUUUGGUUGAAGGAAGAAGUGAAGCUCUGAAGAAUUGAAGAUUCAAACUUCUACAAGCUCUCAAGACGUGCAAGUUCGUAUCAACCUCGAGAUCAACAACUUCUGAAAAAUUGAAGACUUGGAAGAUUAAACUUUUCUUGAAUUCCAGAAGAUCGAAGUUCAAAUCGACUUGCAACAACAAUAUCCUGAAGACCAAAGAUCGAGAAGUUCUAAGUUUUAACUUGUAUUCGAGAGAAAGCAUCAAAUGAGUAAAUACUAGAGAUUGUAUGCACAAUAUUCAAUAUUUAUCAAUAUAACAAAGUUCAAUUCCACGAAAUAUAUUUUCUCAAAAUCUCGUGUGAACAAUAUCGAUUGAUCAAUAAAAAUUUUGUCGGCUAAAUGCUCGAUUUGUAAGCCAAGACAAAAUUUUGUUUUGCUAAGAUCUUUCAUCUCAAUUUCCUUUUUGAGAUAUUCUAUUGUCUUCGAAAGCUAUUGAGCUCCAAUUAUAUUUAAAUCAUCAACAUAUACAGCUAUAAUAGCAAAUUCUGACUACGAUUUCUCAAUAAAAACACAUGGACAGAUUUAAUUAUUUUGAUAAUCUUCUUUCAAUAAAUAUUCACUUAAGCGAUUGUACCAUAUUCGUGCUGAUUGUUUCAAUCCAUGUAAUGAUCUUUGUAAUUUGAUUGAAUAUAAUUCUUCAUAAUUUAAAUUAUAUGAUUCAAGUAUAUCCUUUGGGGAUUUUUAUAUAGAUUUCAUUUUUCAAAUAUUCAUACAAAUAUGUUGUAACUAUAUGUAUAAGAUGCAUGUCAAACUUUUCACAAGGCCGAGAGAAUGAACCACCCUCGGAAAGUUCAAUGAUUUAACUAGUUCAAUUUCAUUUGCUUUAUGCUUUAUUUUCAAGCUAAGACAAAACAUAUAAUCUCAAAUUCUUUCUAGAGAAAUUUUGUUGCCUUUGAAAUCUCUUAAGUACUCAAAUCAUCAAUAAUAUAUAAUAAAUCUUAUAUUGUGAUUUAUUUUAAAAAGCAUACGGACAAAUAGGGGUUAUUCUUAUACCCUCGUAUCAACAAGAAUGUAAUAAGAUGAUGAUAUUCGUCUGGAAUAUUUUAUAAUUAACUCUCUUAUUGUUGAAUCAUAUGUUUUUCUAACCUAUAAUCCUUCAGAGAUAGAAUUAUUAAUAGAUCCAUAAGGUGUAUGUUAAGCAUUCCAUACACAAUAAGAUAUGUUAGAUAGUAUCCACCAUAGGAGAAUAUGUAUUUCUCAUAUAACUAAUAUCAGUUCUUUGCGAUAAUUAUUAUGGAACUUGUCCCACUUUCUAUUUGUUUUUCUUACAAAUAAUUGCUUGUAUUUUGCAUGUUCGACAUUCUCUAAAUGUCUAAACUACUAGUUCUCACAAUUUGAAACAUAAGUUUAUUUGAUUGGAUUGUUUCUUAUCACAUAAGUCAAUCCUUUAUGUGUCGUCGCGACAUUGUUCAAUAUGUCCAAGUACAUAUUACUUAUAAAAUAAUACUCAUUUUCAUAUAAAUAAUAUCGUGAGCAACAUUGUAUGCAAAAGUGUUGUCAAUUUAUUUAAGUAUGGUUCCAUCUUUAUCUUGUCAUGACAUAUAAUCUUAUCGAGAGCUCUUUACUAUCCUUAUUUACUUUCUAUGCAAAAGAUUCUUAUGAGUACUCAUAUUCAGGAUUUCUUCUAGAAUAUCCUUAUUCUUAACUGAGACAUUAAUUGACUACUUCUUCUUCGAGGAUCUUUCUCUUUGGAACUCACAUUUUUCUGCCACACUUCAAGCGUGUAGUAUUGACAACUAUGUAGUAUUAUCUUUGUAACCACUAUCACUCGAUCACUUUCUAACAAUUGUAAAUGUUCUAUAAAUGUGUUUGUAUUUGAUUUAAUAUCGUUUUAUUACAAAUGAGACAUCUUUUGAACUUUUAGUUCAAAGUAAUCUGUAUGAUGAUCAAAAUUAGACAAUACUUAUGCAUUUCAUCCAUUGAUUUUCCAAUAUUUUCUUAAUUUCUUCUCUAAUGUUGAAAUUUUGUCUCAUUAAUGAGAACUAGCAAACUGCAUAGCAAAUAUACCAUUCAUCCAGGAUUUAAUUGUUUCAUCAUCUUAAACAUGAUCUCAUAUAGAUUUAGAAGUUUUGCUAUUCAAACAUAAGCUACAAGAUAUUCAUUCAAUUAUUUCAAUCAAUUAUCAAAUGCUCGGGAUGCAAACUCACUAGCAUUCUCAAAACAAAAUAAUAAGUAUAUCUUUGACCAUCAACAAAAUGCACCAACAAGAAUUAAUAAACCAUGAAUCUGAUCUUCCAAAAAGCACGAGAGUUUCGAUUUCAAAAUUUGCUAGUGAGAGUUUGAUAAUUAACCUCUUGAGAACAAGAUAUCCUGACAAUUUAUUACAUAAAAGAAUCUUCUAGUUCUUCAAUGGAUGUCAAUGUAUAUUUUCAAUAAUGCAUCAAUUUCAUUAUCGACCCAAAAUGACUCUCAUGUCAAAUAAAGUUAUAUUUGGAUCAAUGAACUUCAGGUUCAUUGUUGCAUAUAUAUCAAUUACACGAAUGUGUGUAAUAUAAUUGAGAAGUAAAAGUACACAAAUUUUCUAUAUGCACUACCCGCAUAAGAUUAUGUAUAUAAUAUAUGUAUUUCAUAUAUUAUUCUUAAAAUCAAUCUAUUUAGAUGAUAUCGAUUACAACAUAUGUCUUCCCAAUUUACUAAACUUCUCUUGAUAGAUAUACAAAGAAUUAGUAAAGUAUAUUAAGACGAUCAAUCAAGACUAUCAAGUUUUGAAGACGUAUUGUUUACUUUAAAAUAUAAUAUGCAUAGAUGUACAAUAUGCAACGCAUAAAUAUCAAUUAUUCUUAUUCUUUCAAGAGAUUAAAAGGAAAUUCAAAUAUUUCAUCUAGAUAUAAAUGGUUAAAAAAAAUAAUAAUUUUUUUUUUGGGAGAUUGUAAGUAAUUUGUGAUAUCUAAAUAAUAUCAUAUUUAUAAGGUUAAAAUAAAAGUUACGAUAUCUUUAAGAGAUACAAAUAAUUUCUCAAAGUUUGUUUUCAGACAUCGGUCUCCUUUUCAUCUUUAAGAAUUUUAAUUUUUCAAAUUGACUCUUAACGUACGACAAGUACAUGAUCAUUAAGUACAUGAUUAUUGUAUUUUUUUCCAAACCAUAUUUAGAAAAUAAAAUUCUCGUAUAAAUAUGUAUGGUUUUAAUCAAAUAAACACUUCUUCUCAAUUAACAUAAUUUUGAUCUUACUAAAUAUUGUGGGGAUAGUUGCAAAUUUAGCAAUUAGAUUCAAAUUCUUUCAAGAGAAAUUUUGUUACGUUUGAAAUCUCUUAAGGAGUUUCUACUCAAAUCAUCAAUAAUAUAUAAUAAAUCUUAUAUUGUGAUUUCUUACAAGCAUACGGACAAUACGGACAAAUAGACAAAAUUUCAACAUUAGAGAAGAAAUUAAGAAAAUAUUGGAAAAUCAAUGGAUGAAAUGCAUAAGUAUUGUCUAAUUUUGAUCAUCAUACAGAUUACUUUGAACUAAAAGUUCAAAAGAUGUCUCAUUUGUAAUAAAAUGAUAUCAAAUCAAAUACAAACACAUUUAUAGAACAUUUACAAUUGUUAGAAAGUGAUCGAGUUAUAGUGGUUACAAAGAUAUCAUCUAAGAAUGAUAUCCUAGUGCAACAAGUUGACAAUACUACACGCUUGAAGUGUGGCAGAAAAAUGUGAGUUCCAAAGAGAAAGAUCCUCGAAGAAGAAGUAGUCAAUUAAUGUCUCAGUUAAGAAUAAGGAUAUUCUAGAAGAAAUCCUGAAUAUGAGUACUCAUAAGAAUCUUUUGCAUACAAAGUAAAUAAGGAUAGUAAAGAGCUAUCGAUAAGAUUAUAUGUCAUGACAAGAUAAAGAUGGAACCAUACUUAAAUAAAUUGACAACACUUUUGCAUACAAUGUUGCUCACGAUAUUAUUUAUAUGAAAAUGAGUACUAUUUUAUAAGUAAUAUGUACUUGGACAUAUUGAACAAUGUCGCGACAACACAUAAAGGAUUGACUUAUGUGAUAAGAAACAAUCCAAUCAAAUAAACUUAUGUUUCAAAUUGUGAGAACUAGUAGUUUAGACAUUUAGAGAAUGUCGAACAUGCAAAAUACAAGCAAUUAUUUGUAAGAAAAACAAAUAGAAAGUGGGACAAGUUCCAUAAUAAUUAUCGCAAAGAACUGAUAUUAGUUAUAUGAGAAAUACAUAUUCUCCUAUGGUGGAUACUAUCUAACAUAUCUUAUUGUGUAUGGAAUGCUUAACAUACACCUUAUGGAUGUAGUCAUUAUACAUUUAUAUGAAUCUAUUAAUAAUUCUAUCUCUGAAGGAUUAUAGGUUAGAAAAACAUAUGAUUCAACAAUAAGAGAGUUAAUUAUAAAAUAUUCCAGACGAAUAUCAUCAUCUUAUUACAUUCUUGUUGAUACGAGGGUAUAAUUAACACAAUAUAAGAUUUAUUAUAAGACAAAUGUUGAAAUUUUGUCUCAUUAAUGAGAACUAGCAAACUGCAUAGCAUUUUCAAAACAAAAUAGUAAGUAUAUCUUUGACCAUCAACAAAAUGCACCAACAAGAAUUAAUAAACCAUGAAUCUGAUCUUCCAAAAAGCAUGAGAGUUUCGAUUUCAAUUUUUGCUAGUGAGUGUUUGAUAAAUAACCUCUUGAGAACAAGAUACCCUGAAAAUUUAUUACAUAAAAGAAUCUUCUAGUUCUUCAAUAGAUGUCAAUGUAUAUUUUCAAUCAUGCAUCAAUUUCAUUAUUGACCCAAAAUGACUCUCAUGUCAAAUAAAAUUAUAUUUGGAUCAAUGAACUUCAGUUUCAUUGUUGCAUAUAUAUCAAUUACACGAAUGUGUGUAAUAUAAUUGAGAAGUAAAAGUACACAAAUUUUCUAUAUGCACUACCCGCGUAAGAUUAUGUAUAUAAUAUAUGUAUUUCAUAUAUUAUUCUUAAAAUCAAUCUAUUUAGAUGAUAUCGAUUACAACAUAUGUCUUCCCAAUUUACUAAACUUCUCUUGAUAGAUAUACAAAGAAUUAGUAAAGUAUAUUAAGACGAUCAAUCAAGACUAUCAAGUUUUGAAGACGUAUUGUUUACUUUAAAAUAUAAUUUGCAUAGAUGUACAAUAUGCAACGCAUAAAUAUCAAUUAUUCUUAUUCUUUCAAGAGAUUAAAAGGAAAUUCAAAUAUUUCAUCUAGAUAUAAAUAGUUAAAAAAAAUAAUAAUCUGUUUGGGAGAUUGUAAGUAAUUUGUGAUAUCUAAAUAAUAUCAUAUUUAUAAGGUUAAAAUAAAAGUUAUGAUAUCUUUAAGAGAUACAAAUAAUUUCUCAAAGUUUGUUUUCAGACAUCGGUCUCCUUUUCAUCUUUAAUAAUUUUAAUUUUUCAAAUUGACUCUUAACGUACGACAAGUACAUGAUCAUUAAGUACACGAUUAUUGUAUUUUUUCCAAACCAUAUUUAGAAAAUAAAAUUCUCGUAUAAAUAUGUAUGGUUUUAAUCAAAUAAACACUUCUUCUCAAUUAACAUAAUUUUGAUCUUACUAAAUAUUGUGGGGAUAGUUGCAAAUUUAGCAAUUAGAUUCAAAAUAAUUAAGUAUAUAUCGACAUUUUAAAAAAAUUACAAAUAUAACAAAAUUUGUCAAAUUCUAUCCAUGAUACAACUCUAUCACCGAUAGACCAUGUUGUAAAUAUUGGUCUAUCACUGAUAGAUCAUAGAAGUCUAUCAACGAUAUAAGUCUAUCAAUUACAAUUACCGAUUAUUAUUUGAGUUAAAGUUUAAUUGAGUCCAAAGGUAAGCUUAAUUUAGCACAAAUGCUAAUAAUGUCCAAACCCAACUAAUUAAGCUCAUAGGCAUAAUGCAUGAACCAAAGCAUACAAGGAAUUCUUCCAAUAAUUAGAAGACUUCUUAGCAAGACUUCGAAGUUGAAUUACAUUUUGAUCAUACGCAUUCAAUUGAGAGAGAAUUAGAGAAUCAGAGAAUAAAGUGCUAGAGAUCAAACUACAUCGCAUCUUAAUCUACACGAACACAAGUUCAACUACACAAAACAUGUUUCUCCAAAACCUCAUGUAAACAUUUUCAUUUAAAUUCUUCGAAUGAAAAUUUUCAAAAUUUACAUUUAUAAAAAUAAGUGUAUCUCUAAAUAAUCCUUAAAUAAAACCGUAGGCUAUAAUACAAACAUUAAUAGCCAAGAAAAUAAAUGACCAAUUUUAAAUGUUCCAACUCCAAAAGUGACUAAAAACAUUUGAUUUUUAAAUACAGUUAAACAUAUUAUUAGAUUCUUUCAAUUAGAAUGAGAUGAAAAUACUUUUAGUGUCUCUUCAUUCUGCACCAAUUUCUGUUAACAAGGUUGUCAUCUACCUCAACGCAACAAUCCAUUUGUGUUUAAUCUCGAACAAUUACUUUUAACUAGACCAACUUCUUUCCCAUAGAGUUCGUUCUCAAUUUGAUUAGCUUAACCACAGAAUCACAAAGGACAUGUCACCAAGACACUGAGUGCAAUGGACAAGACUCUGAUAUAGUUGUUGAUAAGAAACUCUCUAAGAAGGUAUCUCCACAUCCACUUGUUAAUCGCAGUCCAACGUUAACCAUGGUAAUAUUCAACAAAAACAGAACUAACUACCACAAUACAAACGCCUACAUCAGUAAGCAAACUUAGCUCACAGAACUUACAACCUCAGAAUUAUGUUUGCUUUCAGAGGCUUUUUCAUCACAACUGUGAACUCUAACUUCUCCGACAGAUCAACAUUAUCUCCCUCCACACCUCUCCAAUCAAACUUCCAUAAUAAAUUCGCUAAGAAAUAUUCCAAAUGAAGAAUCCCCAAACCAUAGCCAGGACAUAUCCUUCUCCCUGCUCCGAACGGCAUCAUCUUUAUCUCUUUACUCCCUGUUACAUCGAACCCUGCCGCUUCUUCUCCUCCGUCGCCAUUCAUAAACCUCUCCGGCUUAAACGCCAUCGGUUCUUCCCACACUGUUGGAUCUCGACCAAUCUCCGCUGCCAAGAAAUUCACAGUCCCGUUUUUGGGUAUCAAGUAAUUCUCAAAUUGUAUAUCCUCCUUCACUCCUCGUGCUUGUAAGAAAUGUCCUGGUGGGUGUCUUCUUAAUCCUUCUAAAACCACUGCUUUUAGAUAUGGAAGCUUCCCCAAAUCCUCUUCCUUCACUUCCUCCCUUGUUCCAUCGCCCAUUACUUCUUUCAUUUCUGUAAAAAGCUUGUGCUGAAUUUCUGGGUUUUUCACUAAAUUUGCCAUUAUCCAUUGCAAGGUUGUGGAUGUUGUAUCGGUUCCGCCAGUGAGGAAUUCAGAGCAUAAUGUGACCAUUUCGCUGUUCGUUAGCUUUCUAUUAUCCUCGUUGGGGAGUUGUAAUUCGAGUAGUGUAUCUACAUAUGACAACACGAAUUCUUUACCGUCUUCUUGUUCUUGUUUUUCACCUUCUCUCUUCCCUCUGUUUGCUCUGCUUUUUAUCGCUUCUCUUCUUGCUUCGAUUAACGGGAUUAUGACUCUCUCUUGGUUCCUUCUUAGUUGCAGAAACUCCUCCCAGCGCUUCGGAAGAAAAAACUUGGUCAAUUUAGGAGAUAAAUUAAGGAGACCAAAACGCCUAAAAUUUAACAGCAUUGUACGCUGCACAUUCUCGACUUCUUUGAUUUGGGAUUCCUCAAGUUUAUCCCCAAAACACAUCAACACCAUUAAACAGAACAUAGCGUACUGAAAAUGAUCUACAACAUAGACGGAACUUCCCGAUUCAGAGUGAGAGAAAAGACGAUUAAGAAGAAUACCCAAAACCCACUCGCGAGCAUGGCCGUAGGAUCUAAUACGGGAAGGAUGAAGAAUUUGGGAAGUAAGAUUGCGGCGGAGGAGGCGCCAGAGUGGGCCGUAGGCGGCGGAGUUGAUACUGUGUUGGUUGCUUGUGAGGAUUUUGGUUAAAGGAGGAACCGGUGGGCGGUCGGCGAAGAGAGCGCCGUGUUGGAAGAGGGCUUUGUGGGCAAUGGUGCGGUCGGCGAUGAAGAUGGAAGGGCGAGAGCCAAUGCGGAGAGUGACAAUGGGGCCGUAUUUGGCGACGGCGGUGCGGAGGUAUGACUCCAUUUGAAGAGGCGAUGUACGGAACCAUAAGAAGGUGGAGAGGAUGGGGAUUGAAGGAGGGCCUGGUGGGAGCUUGGUGGAGGUUUGGAAUUUGGUAAAAAUGGAGCUGAGAAGAUAGCAAAUGGAGAAGGAGAUAAGGAUGAUGAUGAACCAGGUAUCCAUUUUUUUGUGUGUUUGAGACUGAUUGACUCUUGAACUUGAAUCUGACUUUAAAUCCAAAUCCAUGUGGUAAUGUGUCAUGGAAUGUGGUAAGUGCAUGGAAAUGGCAGCUCUAAUUAUGUGGUUUGAAGAUAUUACUGUUGGGUUCAAUUAAGGAAUAUAAUUGCACUUAGUACAAACAAUUAACUUCAUCUUUUCAAACAAGUGAAUGGUAAUAUGAAAAGUGGCCUCAUUCCAUAAGCAAACACAUUCACUUCUAAAUAAAAAUAGCAUAUUGAUUUGACGUGCAGAAGAUUCUCAUUUCAAUUGCUUCGAAAAAAUUUUUACAUUAUAAGUAAAUAUGAUAAAAAAAAAAAAAACUCAAUUACACUUGUGCUACUAUAACAAUCGACGGACCAAUUGAAUUCUAUUAAGAUUAUACUAUUUUUUUAUUAUAUAUCGGUAAUCAUGACCUUUUUAUGAUUUGAAAUAUUGCAAAAUACAUUAUUGAUGAUAAAAAUUUGAUGUAAAUUUUGUUAGAUCUAAGUAUUGUGUUAAAUUUGGUCAUAUAUAUAUACCUUCCAAAACUACAGAUAUUAUGCAUGCCAAGUUUUGGAAUGUAUUAACCCUCCACAUCUUUUAUAAAAUGUAGUGGUGCCAAUAUUCACGAUUCAAUUCUAAAACGUGUUCAACGCUAUCAUACUCUUGUUUUUCAAUGAUUCUUUUUGAGAAAUUUAAGAGGAGUUUCGAGUAUUUGGCACCCAAUUUCAUUUCUCUCCUUCAUGACAUUAUUAAAGUUGACUGACAUAAAAAAAAGUAUUAAUUUUAGAAAACUCAUUUUUAUUUAUAUUCUUUUUAAUAAAAAUUGUUCAAAAUAUAUUUUAAAGGUUUUUUUGGAAUUGUUUCCAAGCCCUUAAAUAUAAACUCAUAUUGUUUUUAGGUUAGUUUAUGAAAUUUUCUCUCACCCUUCCUUUCAUUACUAUCUUGUUCACGUGUAUUAUUUGAUUACUUAAAUUUUCUAGUUACUCUACCAAAUACACUGUAUUGUUCCAACUGUUGUAAUAGAAUGUACAUAUCAUACUUUAUCCUCUAGCUUGUCCUCUUUCUCCUCAAGUUCUUCCUUUACAUUCCUUAAUGCCUUCUUCCUUCUUUGCAGUGUCCUUUUUCCAAUAUGCUCAGUCACCGAGAUUUAAGAUAAAGUUGUAUUACCAUGCUAUUAUUCUUGUUUUUUUAUGGAACAUCUACUUCUUUUCAAACUUCAUAUCUAUAUCUGUAUUUAUAUAGGUUCCACGUUUUACUACCAAUAUCCAACCAUUGUGUUUUUUGUUUCAUGUUGUGCAAAGAUUUUUAGUUUUUUGGUUUUGAGAAUCAUUGUAGUUAGAAAAUAGAAACAUACCUCGUCUUCACUUUGUGAGAAUUAUUGGAACUUUGUUUGUUGUUUUUUUUCCACCAUUUAUUUUAGUAGCCCUCAAUCUUCAGCUAGCCCUUGUUCUUCCUUCUAUUAUCUCUUUUUUCAUAUCUUUAAUCAGUUUUUUAAAUUUAUUAGAUAAAAAAUAUUUGCUAAACAUCUCAUAUAUCUGUUGGUGAAUUCUAAAAAAAAAGUAGGGAAAUCUCCUUAUUAGAUAUAAUUUCUGUUUUCCCAACUAUUUCAAAUAAUUUUUCAUUUAAAAUUAUUUCCUAAAUCGGUAUUUCUUAAGAAUAUAAAAUCUUGUUCUUAAAAAGGAAACGUUGCUUUCAAAAAGAAAAAAAAGUUGGUUUGAGUUCGUUACCUUCAAUCAUGAAGCAUAGUAGAACGAACAACGUGUGGCAUUAAGAUAAAGGUAGGCGAGUGGCUGUGUUGUUUGUCAUUGGCGUGGCUGUGAACGCAACGAAUCUGGAAAUAGUAAGUAGACUAGAUCAGCGGCUGAGAACGUGAGGGAGUGACUUUUGACGGAGCGAAACGUGACAUAACAGAACUUGAAGGCUAGGAACGUUUGGGGUAGCACCAGCUAGCCGAACAUUUUCGAAGGAGCGAUGGUGGACGACGACUUCCAUCACGAGGAUUGAAUGAACGACAUCUGAGAUCAGAACGUCGACGAUUCGGACGGAGCGGUUGUGUUGCUUUCCUUUAACGCGACUGAGAAAGCGACAGAGCCGUGAAGAUAUACAAAUGGAUGCAACAGAGAGAAGGUUUGCUUGUUUGUGACGGAACCAAAAAGAUGGGGCGAUGAGAGGUGGAGAGAUGGAACGUUUACAAUUACCUGGUUGUGACAAAAGUCGUAUUUUUUGGUGGAAUAGCUUGAAGGUGGAGGUGGAAGUGGAAGGUGGGGAGACAAACCCAAGAGAGAAAAGAAGAGGAAGAGUUUUUUCUUGGGUCACGCGUGAAAAGUGAGAGUGAGUCCUUAGGUUGUGUAUACCUUGGUAGAAUGGACAGAUUGAUUAAUUAACUUGGUAUAGGAUAAAUACAAAAAAUAUUUACAAAUUCAAGAUCAUUAAUGGGUAAUCUAGGUUUUGAACCCAGAGUGAGUAAACUCUAGUAUAUGUUAAGGAACCCCUAAUAGUAAUUAUAUGCUUCUUUCGGUGGAACAGAGCACAUGUCACAUGUCAUGCUCCAUCCCAUAGAGCACCUUCUCACUCGACUCAAGAUGUGGAAUGAAGUCAACCAACAUCAUUCUUCUUCUAGUGUGGCAAAUUUUAGUUACAUAUUGUAGAUGGUUGUGGCAAAUUAGAUCAUCUACGACUUGUGGCAAAUUUUGUUCGACAGUGUGGAGUUUGUCAAUCAGCUAAAGGGAGCUACCAAAAUACAGAACGAAUUUACACUCCGUUAUCUGUUCUUAAUGAUAUUUGGUGAGACUUAUCGAUGAAUUUUAUUCUCGAGUUACCUAGAACAAAUGGGGAGUUGACUCUAUUUUUUGGAUUAUUGAUUGUUUCUCUAAAUGUCGCAGAAGUUUAAUUCUAGCACCAUAGCAAAGUUGGUUUUUUGUGAAAUUAUGAAACUACAUGGGAUUUCUGAAUCUCUGAGCUCGAACACAUGGACAUAUCGAAGUUGUCAACGAACUUUGGAGGAUAUGCUUCGUUGUUUCAUUGAAGAAAGGUCCUAGACAAUGGGAUUUACUUUCGCAUCUACCAAAUUCAAUAGGUUUCAAAUUGUUUAUACCAAGGUGUCUUUGCUCUAUUUGUAAUUUAUUUAAAAUGUUACUAUGAUCUUUGUUAUCAUUCAUAAAAUUGCUAUUGGUUAUAACUACCCAAUAUAAUUAGGUUGAGUGGCAUUUCAAAGAUGAUAAUUAAGGGUAGCAACUUUAUAGAAAUUUGUAAAUUUCUUAGUUAAAGAACCCUUUCAAUAUUUCAUAUUGUAAGGGUAGCAACUUUAUAGAAAUUUGUAAAUUUCUUAGUUAAAGAACCCUUUCAUUAUUUCAUAUUGGGCUUUUUACUUAUUCAAAAUGUGAAAAUAUUUGUGUAUUUCUAUUUUUUUUUUACUUUUUUUUUUUUUUGUUAUUUUUGCAGGCUACAAACAUAAAAAUGUAAUUUAUGAUUCUAAUUCAAAGUAGUUAAAUACUUUCCUUGAGUUACUCUUGAAAAAUUUACAACUUCCUCAGCUAAAUAAAAACUCAGAACAAAUCAAUCUAAUCUGACGCUAAAUCCUUUACCUCAUAUCAUAUAUGCAAACUGCAACAAACUAAUCUAAAACACUCCAUCCCUAAAACGCUACCACAUAGAACUGGGGAAAAUCAAACAUAGGCAAAUUUGAUGGCGUAGAUUUCAUAAUAGAUAAACACAAAACUAGCCAUACAGUAGAAUACGGCAACUUUAUGACAUUAGAAUCUACAAAUUACGUUGGCUUUAAGAGGUUUUUCCAUCACCACGGUGAACUCUACCUUCUCCGACAGAUCAACAUCCUCUCCUUCUACCCCCUUCCAUUCAAAUUUCCAUACCAAAUUCCCAAUGAAAUACUCCAGAUGAAGAAUUGCCAAACCAAAUCCAGGACAUACUCUCCUCCCUGCUCCAAACGGCAUCAUCUUUAUCUCUUUGCUCCCUGUUAUAUCAAACUCAACAACUCCUUCCUCUCCUGCACCGCCUUUCAUGAACCUCUCUGGCUUAAACUCCAUCGGAUCUUCCCACACUUUUGGAUCCCAACCCAUUUCUGCCACCAUGAAAUUCACACUCCCAUUCUUCGGUAUCACAUAAUUCUCCAACUCUGUAUCUUCUUUCACAGCGUGUGGUAACACGAAAUGUCCUGGUGGGUGUCUUCUUAAUCCUUCUAAAACCACCGCUUUCAGAUAUGGAAGUUUCCCCAAUUCCUCUUCCAUCACCUCCUCUCUUGACCCAUCUCCCAUUACUCCUUUAAUCUCUGCGUAAAGCUUGUUUUGAAUUUCUGGGUUCUUCACUAAAUUUGCCAUUAUCCAUUGCAAAGCUGUGGAUGUCGUAUCGGUGCCGGCGUUGAGAAAUUCGGAGGCUAUGGCAACAAUUUCUUCCUCUGUGAGCUUUCUCUUUUCCUCUGGGUGAUCCAAAUCGAGAAGCGUAUCGACGUACGACACCACGAAUUCUUCGUCCUGUUUUUCUUCUCCUCCUCUGUUUUCCUUGGCCUUUCUUCUUGCUUCGAUCAAUGGAAUCAGGACUUCAUCACGAUUCUUCUUGAAUUUAAGAAAGGUUUCCCACCGCUUUCGGAGGAAAAUCUUGGUCAAUUUAGGCCAGAAAUUAAGGAUAUUAAAACGCCUAAGAUUUAUCAGCAUUAUAUGAUGUACGUUCUCGAUUUCCUUAAUCUGGGAUUCGCUAACUUUAUCCCCAAAACACAUCAACACCAACAAACAGAACAUAGCGUACUGAAAAUGAUCAAUAACGCAAACAGGAUUUCCCGAUUGAGAUUGAGAAACAAAUCGAUUAAUAAGAACAUCCAAAACCCACUUACGAGCACGGCCGUAGGAUUUGACACGAGAAGGAUGGAGGAUUUGGGAAGUAAGAUUACGGCGGAGGAGACGCCAGAGUGGGCCGUAAGAAGCGGUGUUGAUGUUGUGUUGGUUACUGGAAGCGAUCUUGGUGACGGGUGGCGCCGGUGGACGGUCGGCGAAGAGAGCGCCGUUGAGGACGAGGGCUUUGUGGGCGAUAGAACGGUCGGCGAUGAAGACGGCAGGGCGGGAGCCGAUGGGGAGGGUGACGAUGGGACCGUAUUUGGAGACGAAGGUGCGGAGAAGUGAUUCCAUUUGAAGGGGGGACUUUCGAAGCCAUUGGAGAUUUGUGAGGAUGGGGAUUGAAGGAGGGCCUGGUGGGAGUUUUUUGGAGCUUCGGAAAUGGGAGAAAAUGGAGUUUAGAAGAGAGCAGAUACAGAUAGAGAUUAUGAGGAUGAACCACACCUCCAUUAUUUCUUUCCUUUCUUUCCUGCUUCUUCUUCUUCUGUUCCUUUUAUCCUUUUUCAUCCAUUAUAUAUAUAUAUAUAUAUAUAUAUAUAUAUAUAUUAUAUGGGUAGCCCCCACGUUUCUUGUUCGAUAAGAGAGAGUUGUUUUUCAUUAGUAAUUUAUGGGGGAAAAUGUCAAUUACAUGAACAAAUCAAAACUUCAUCAUAAACAAAUAUUAUUUGAAAUCUUAGAUUGAAGAUUAUUUUGACAUUAAUUUUGGGGAAAUAAAUAUGGACUCGUAGACAUACUAAGUAGUGGUGAUGUGUGUGAAUCUAGGCAAAGUAUGUAGCUGCUUGUUAAAUAGAACAAUUUGGGCAUAAAUGGAUGAAACCCACAAACAUAUCAUCACUCAAUCAUUUAAAACACAGCCUUGUUUAUAAGAUUAACAGUUCAAAUCAUAAACCAAACAAAGGUGCAGAGUAGAUUAAAUGUAUUUGAAUUCAACGAUCAUGGAGGAUCCCUUUUGUAGAAAUCUAGAAAUGGAGUUUAUAGAAUGGAAUAAAGUAUUUGAAUAAAAUUAAUGUGGAUGAACAAAAAAACAAAAAGCAUGUAAGUGCUUCCGUCACUCAUGGUUGUCUUUCUCUUAAAUACGGAAUUUUUCAUUUUGCUUGGUGCCUAAUACCAUCGUUAUCACUACAUAUCAAUUUUAUUUCACUUUCGUUUCCCGACUCAAUUCUUGGAAUCAUCCUCAUUCCUCCCUCGUGUUCAUACUUAGCUAUUUCUUUGUAUAAUUUAUGUUUAUUUUGUUUCACAUUCUUCCAAAAACAAAUACAAUACAUUAUUAUAUUUAAACCGAGUGUCUUUAAUAAAUAUGAAUGUGUUUGGGUAGGCCAAAGUUUUUUAUAUUAACAUGUGUACUUACCUUUAAAAUUGGAGUCUUAGGAUAUGUUUGACCCAAGUAUUUUGGGAGUAUGAGUAGAGUAUGAUGGAGUUAUGAAACUCUAUUCUUUAUUUCACUCAAAGAUUGAGUAUAGUUCUCACGUUACGUAUUGGCUCACGAUGUAUUGGGUCUUGAACUCACGUUUUCUUCGACAACAGGAAAGCUAGGUGAUUCGUUUUCAAAUUUAAUCUUUACUUUCCCAUUAGGAUUUUCAAUGAUAUAAGAAACUUCUUUUUCUUUCUUUCGAGAGAUGAAAGCAUUAUCUAAAAUCUAGUGGGGAUUUCUAGUAACUUCAUGCCAAGAAAGGAGUUUAGGAAUACUAACAGGAGAUUUAUUUAGAUUUGUUUCUAUCAACAUGGUUUUUCCUUUAGUAGAAUACAAUAAAGCUUUUGGAUAGACGAUAGUAGUCAAAACUUUGUAAGUGUUCAUUUUUAACACCUUCCUCAAGACUCAAACCUUGUUAGUGAUAUUUAAACUCAAAGUUUUGAGAAUAUGUGGGUCAUCAAGAAACACCAUAAAGUUUGGAAAACAAUUAAAAUACAUAAGAGCCAUUGGCCGAAUUUGAUUAAAUUAUUCCUAACAAAGAAUUUAAAAAAUCGUUAUGACUUUUAUCACCUAAAAUUACCAAGACUGGUGUAUUCCGUCCAGAUCUAAAAUCUCUUGGAUAGCUACAUCUAGGGCAAGGGACUGCCUAACAAAUUCAUAAUUUGGACAUAAUCCCAUAAGAACCUUAAUAAGACGAAGAUGAACUUUAUUUAUUUUGGCUUGAUCAAGUUGAGUCUAUAUAGGUUGAAGAUAUUUAUUAACAAAUUGACAAGGGUACUAUGCAAUGGAUAGUAAUGAGCUAAACAAUCAAUUUAAAGUGUGUAGACAAAAAGUUUCAUCAUUUUUUAGCAUCCUCAAAGGCAUCAAAGUAUGCAUGAAUAGCAGGGAUAUAUGUGUUACCAGGCCAGAUGAUAAUCAGGUGAUUUUUACUAUCCCAUUCUUCGAGGCAUUCGAUAAAUUUACUAUCAUCUUCUUUGUUUAGUUGUUUUCAUCUCCAUUGUUUAGAUGUUUUGGUUUAAUGAUGUCUUUAAUAACAAUGUGCCACAAUUUCCUACCAAUUAAAAAACUCUUCAUUUGAUUAGUUCAAGUAAGGUAAUUCGUCAUGUCAAAUAUUGUACUAAUGAGUCGAAUAACAUGGUCUUUCUCUAUUAAAGCAUAUCUCAUGGUAGAGAAGUGGAUCUCAAAGCAAAUCUCGAGAUAGAUGAGAUCGAUACAAAGCAAAUAUUGAGGCAAAUAAGAACAAGACGAAUCGGAUUGAGAACAAAGUCUGUGUUUCAAGGAGAAUGUCAGGAUAGAAAAGACUGAGACAAAGCAGAACUAAAGUUCACAAGAUGAGCAAAUUCACGGAGCGAAUCUCGGUUGCAAGAUCCGAAAGCAAGGUGCCACUAUAGCAAAGCAUAUCUGAGCGAGUGAAGUCGAAGGAGAUCGAAUUUCAGUUGCAUGAUUGUGGGGCAAGGUGAUGCUGAAGCGGAGUUGAUCUGGGCAAGUCUGAAUCUGAGAGCAAAUUCUCAAAGCUAGUAAAUGGAAGUUCAAGAGUCAUCAAUGUGAUCUAGUACAAAUCUUAAUGGAAAGGGUGAUCAGUGGGCAGUCGGACUUGAAGAAGAUGGAGGAGUGGCAGCUAGACUAGAUCAGGACUUAAGCUCUUAUAUCAUGUGGGAAAUAUUUUAUUUGAUUUAAUAUUCUAUGGUUUACGUGGACAAACCUAUAGAAGUAAAUAAGGCAAAUGAUGUAAUUACUCAUAAUUUGUAUUAAUUACAUUUAUAAUCAUUUUUAAAAUUGUUUUAUUUUAGUUUUUCAAUAAUAAAAUGAUGUUUCCUACAAUUUUAAAGAAACUAAAUAAAUAGUUUUGUCUACCCUUAGUUGGAAAACAAAGAACUAGUAUUGGUCAAUGGUCAAACUAAGCCAGGUAGAUAAUAACUAAAAAGAAAACCUUGGGAUAAAAUUAUAUAAUAUAUCAUUAGUUGAAUUCUUCCGGAUCCAUUUAGACCAACUUCAAGCUUCUCCUUAAUUAUUUUUGUAAAAUUUUAAAACAUUUUAAAGUUAAAGUAACAAGUAAUUUCAUCUCCUCCUCCAUAAUCUUCUUUCCUGAUCCGACCUUUUUAACUAAAUUCACUAAAUUCAAGUAAAGUUAUACAUUCUUUUGAUGUGUUUAUAAACAUUUUUCAUCAUCUUUAUAUAAUAUAACGAUAUUAUAGUUUUAAUGCCCCUCAGAUUAAAGAAAAAACUUUCUUUCAAGCUUUAAUUUUCUAUCUUUAUACAGUAACAUUUUUUUCAAUUCAAGGAUAGAUUGUGUUGUGAAGGGUGAACUAAAAAACGCUACUAAUCCAUUCUUUUCUUUUCUUCCAGACAAUUACUUUUGAAAAAAUGAUUGAAACAGAUAAAAAGUUUUCAUAAUCGAGUAAUGAGAAAUGAACAAAGUUUUCUUCCCAUUAUGCAUCAAAUUAAAGCUCUCUCGUCUGAUUGGGACAUUGAGGCCAAGGGUCUUCGGCUCCAGAGAAGGGAUUCUUCCAGUAAGAUUUGACUUUUAAUCUUUCGAGUUGCAUAUUUUGUGGGCAGAGAUUACGUUGAUCAAGAUAUUUGGGUAAAAGUGCAGCAAGAAAUCAGCAAGACUCUAGUUUUGGUUCUGAUUAGUUUAGAACCUGACGUCCAAAGCAGUCGAUCAUCUCCCAAACAAAGAAAAAUGAAAGCCUUUUGGCGUUUCGUCAAGCUUUUAGGUGAACUCAACUUAAAGGAGAUAGGAAAGAAGCUGAUUUUGAAGAGCGGUCUUCAAAGCAAGCUCUUUUUCAAUAGAAAAUAUUUUCAUUCUUUUCAUACACAUUCCUUCUGUGAGAAACGAGUUGUGUUGUGAAUUCUGACUUUUUGUGUAGUGAUUUCAUAAGGUCAUAAAUUAAAAGAAACACAUUAAUAGAGAACAGUUCGUGAAACAAAAUCUUUAAAUAGGUUUGAACCUACGCAAACAAGGUAAUCCAACUUUCCAACUGUUCAAAUCAUACUAAAUUUCAUAAUAAAUAGGUUAACUUAGAUUAUCGCUGUUAACAUUAUCGUUAUCAGAAAUUGGAAAUAGUAGAGUGUCAAUAGCUCAGCUCCACAUAGAUCGGUUUCAUACCGUGUAGUUGGUCCAAGCAUGGAUGGAUUUUGCAGAGUAGAGUCUUCUGAGAACUGAAGUCUUCAAGAGAUUUAGAGAGAUAACAGGCAUGAAUUAGAAACUACAAAAGUUUCAACCCACCAGUUACAUCAUCAACCACUUCAACAGGACCUGCAAUUUGGGAAGUAAGAAAUGUAUACUAUUAUAUUCAUACGAACCAAAUUAGUUCAUAAUAAUUUUAUUUUAUUUUUUAUUUUUCUAUUUCCCUUAUGAAAACAAGUUUCAUGGAGAAAGAAUGAAAAAGAAUUUGUACAAGGAGAUACAAAAGAAACCAGCCCACAAAACCACUCUUUUAAAGGAAGGGGGUUCCAACUAAGAAAAAUGUUGUCUAUAGGAUAGUUAUAAAAGUUCUUCAAAACCGAAGUCCAAAGAGACGUACCAAAGACCAAAUGCCACCCCCUCCCUCUACUCCUAAACCACCCUAGCAUUCCUCUCACCCCAAAUAUUCCAAAUAACCGUGUACACCUCAGCAUGCCAUAAAAAGCCUCCCUUAUCAGUGAAGGGCAGAUGGAGAAGGAAUUCCUCGAUCGUCACUCUAACACACCUCAAGUCGACAAAGCUAACACCCAACACCUGAAGAAAGGAGCACCACAUGGCUCUUGCAAAUUGGCAAUCUCAAGAAAGGUGAUUUAGAUCUUACUCUGCCAUCCAACACAGCAUAUAACAGAAAGGCCCGACAAGCGAAGUCCUCCUCCUAACAAGAAGCCUAUCAACACUGUUAACCCAACCAAGCAAGACUUGCAAGAUAAAAAACAUAACUUUCUUAGGAACCUUAGUCCACCACACCAUAUCAAAGACCGACUCCUUAGGAGAGUAGGAUCCAACAACAAAAAAACAAUGAUUUACAGGCAAAACCCCAAAUAGAAUUAGGAUUCCAAACACAAGCAUCUUUCCUCCCCUCUCAAACAGUGCACCCCUCGAGUAAGGAAAGAAGAGAGGUCACCUUUGUCAUUUCUCUAUUGGUCAAGUUACGACGAAACCCAAAAGAGAAAGACACAGAAUUCUCAGAUCUCACCAAAACAUUCAAGAUAGAACAGUUUUCGAACGAGGAAAGAUAUACCGAUGUGAAAAAACAGUACAAAGGGAAUUCUCACCUACCCAUCUCAUCCUCCCAGAAAAAUGUCCUUACCAUCCCCCACAAAACAAGAAACAAACCGAUAAAAAGUAGGAAGCUCGAACGAAAUAUCGUUCCAAGGAUUUUGAAGAGUGUCUUUGACGUCUCUCAUAGUCCACUCAAAAGGAUGGGAACCAUGCUUGCUCAAAAUGAUCUUAUGCCAAAGAGAACCACGCUCAAGAUGGAAGCGCCAAAGCCACUUUGCCAUCAUACCUCUGUUACGAAUUCUAAGAUUACCAAUCUCUAAUCCCCCUUGACUCACAGAGCGCUGCACCACCUCCCAACUAACCAAAUGGGAGUUGUGACCCUCGUCCACCCACUCCCACAGAAAGUCUCUCAUGUAUUUUUCAAUACUCUUACACACAUGACACUUGACACCAUACUAGAGGCCAUAAACAAAGAAAGAUAAUACACCAGAAUUCCACUCAACAUCGAUUUAAUCAAAGUAAGUCUACCAACUUUAGAAAAGGAUCCUUUCUUCCAUGUCGCCAAUCUCUUAUGAAUUUUCCCACAAACAGGAUUCCAAAAAGACACAGCUCUUGUCUUAACCCCCAACGAGAGACCAAGGUAGCAAGAAGGGAAAGAGUCAAUCUCAGAAUCAAACGCUUCCACCCAUCUUAGCAACUUGACCUAAUCAGAAUUAAUACCAUAGAUAGUGCACUUGUUUCUAUUGAUUUCCAGGCCCGACAUCUCUUCAAAGAAUUCGACUAUAUGAUUGAGGGUGUGGAAAGAAUUCGACCAUAUCAUCAGCAAACUGAAGGUGUGAUAAGGCCACUUCAUCUCUACCAAUCUUAAAAAGCUCAAUAAUGUUGCCAUCAACACCUUUACUUAUCAACCGACUUCCACAACCAGUAAGAACAAAAACAGAGACAAGAUCACCAUGUCUAAGACCCCUGGAAGCUUGAAUCGCCCCUUUUGGUACUCCACUGAUGAGAAUAUAAUAAACAUUUCUAACACACCCCCACAUCCACAUUCUCCAUUUAUUCCCAAAGUCUUUCUUCAUCAUUACUCUAUCCAGAAAGUCCCAAAAUUCUGAGUCCACAUGGUCGAACGCUUUCUCAAAGUCAAGCUUUAACAUAACACCCUCCAAAUUCUUUGACCUAUACUCCUCAAUAGCUUCAUUAGCAAUAAAGGCUUGGUCUAGAAUCUGUCUUCCAGAAAAAAAGGCUCCCUAUGUUUCAGAAUUUGUCAAUGGCAGUGUUGGUGAUAUAUAAUUAAAUUUGCCUUCAACCACCAGCUUAAGCUUUUGGAUGAAUUGGUUGUUUAAUAUGGUAUCAGAGCAGGUGGUCCAGGGAGGUCCUGUGUUCAAGCCCCUGCAUUGUCGUUUCCUCCCCAAUUAAAAUCAAUUUCCACUUGUUGGGCCUUUCAAAUAUUUCAAAUCCAAAAGUGAGGUAAAAUUGAUUCCACUUGUUGGGCCUUUCAGAUAUUUCAAGCCCACAAGUGAGGGGGAGUGUUGGUGAUAUAUAAUUAAAUUUGCCUUCAACCACCAGCUUAAGCUUUUGGAUGAAUUGGUUGUUUAAUAGGCAGCACUUUCCUUAAACAAUUGGCAAAAGCCUUGGCCAAAAUCUUAUAAAUACUAGUAAUGAGGUUGAUAGGUAGAAACUCCUUUCACCCUAUUUGCAUUAUCCUUUUUAGGAAUCAAACAAACAAAGCUUUCGACCACCAAUCUGUUCAAGAUACCUCUUUCAAAAAAUUCCUUAAGAACUCCCUCCAAGUCACCUUUGAUGAUCCCAAUUCUCCGGAAAGAAAGCUAUAGAAAACCCCUCAGCACUAGGAGCCUUGUUGCCAUCACAACUGAAAAACAUUCCUGAUCUCUUCAAUCGUAAAAGGAGCGACUAACUCCUCAUCCUCCCUAGGGAAAAUAGGGCUCCAGUCAAUACCAAAUGGCUUCUCCAACACCGCAGGGCUAUAGAGGUUAUAGAAAAACUUCCCGCACAAUUUCCUCCCUAUCUCUAGUACAGACCCCAUUUUCCAAACACAAAAGAUCUAUAUGAUCCACUUGGACCUCACAUAUAUAUUUUGGCAGCCCACUUUUAAUGUUAUUUCCUUUGCACAGCACAGAGUUCUUAAGCUGGCACAAAGAAAUAUUGUCCUCUUCAUCCCGGCCCAACCUCAUUUCCACCGGCCCAUCACACAUCACACCCUUCCCACCUUCCAGCAUAUUCCAUAGGCUUAACCUUACAAUUCUCAAGCCCACUGUGGGCUUUUUUCUCCCCCGGCUCAUCACACUUCGUGGAAUACAAACAGUUCCCGUGACUUCCCUUAUCCUUCCUCUUCUAACCCAAAGACAGACUAAAAGACCAAUCGACUGCUAGUUUUGUAUCUCACCAGAAAGGAAAAUUCUUGGUGGUUAACAAUGCACCCCAUCUGAAUAUAACCAUCUUCUUUGCCAUUUUCCCUAAAACUCACUUCCUUAAGCCAGUUGCACGCCAGCAAAUACACUUCCUUAUUGGCAAGGCCACCACACUAGGAUGCAAGGGAAUCAAGAACUCCUUAGUUCUCAAGAAAGGAGGGACGUCCAGCGCCAUGACCCACCCUCCCCUGAAUACCUACUUUCUCUUCUCUUCAAUCACACGAAAAUUCCACUGUCGAAACGUAAAAUCUUGGCUUUGAAACAACGUCCCAAUCCAUAUCAGUUCCUUCACCUCUGAACCUGAGUUGCAAAACCCCACUGCCAAAUUUGCCCAAAAGAUCUUGAAGCCACAACAAAUAUAUGGGGCAUUUCAAAAAGUUGCUUCAAGACUCCCCAAUUCUGUCAAGGCCUUGAAUUUCUUGAUAGUAAUCAUAGUCUGGCAUUCAAAUGCAAAGUCCAUCUUAUCUCUUUCCCCUGUUACCACUUUGACCUCUUGCGCAUCUCUCUGCAAGUUUUGUGUAUGGUUGCCCUCCAUUCAUUUUGUUGAUCUACACAUUGGCAACUGGCACCUGGGAGCCAUCUUUUUCUUUCCAAGAUGAGUCCUUUGAUUUUUGGAUUUCAUUACUAGACUUCUGAGAACCUAUAUUUGAGCCUGAAAGAUACACCGAGAUUUCUGUGCUAAUGAGUACUAAUCACUACCUCUACUUCCUUCCAGGAUGAAUAUCCUUAUUUUCCUUCCUUUAAAAGAUUCAAGGGAUAGAAUAGCAAAUCUUCCUAUACUGUUCUCCAGCAUCUGAAAAAAGAGAAUGGCAAAGACCAAACUUCUUCUUUGCUAAAAACCAGUGGACCAACUGGCAUCCACGGCUGCCUUCAAAUAGCCCCUUACCCAAGCUGCAGUUCCCCGAUCCGACUCCAGCUUACCAAAUUUUCUCCAUUCCUUUCCUCAAUAUAAAUCUUCCUAUCAAUCCCUACAAACUCCUUUCUACCUAUCGUGAAUUUUUCCAUCUCAAAACAAUCACAUUUUGAGAGAAAAGUUUGUAUAACUUAUCUUUCAACUAGUUUGUAAUAAUUUUAUUUAGCACCACACCAUAUGAAAUUGAUACAUAGAUCCACCAGUUGAGCUAGCUAACCAAAAAUCGAGUCGAACAAAAGAGUGAAAAAUGUAGGAAAUUUGCCAAGUUAGUAGAACAGAGAUAGAAACCCAUGGCAAGGUCUUAAAAGUAGUCGAAGUCAACAUUUUAUCUCAAAAUACGUUUGAGUGAGCAUUCUUCCCAUUUGAGGAAUUUUGCUACAAAAGGAAUGCUUAAAUUAAAUGCCCAUGGCAGCAAUGAACUCUUUAAUUUUUAAAAGUUGCACGGAAAAAUCUACUUACCAAGAAUUGCCAUCACCGUUCUCGAAUCUGAAAAAACAAUAAAGUGAAAAUCAGUGAAAUUGAUAAAGUUUCUAUGAAUAAAUCGAUCUACUUAAGUGAAUUUCAUAUAAGCUUACUGGGUGCAAUCUGAGUUCUUCCGGCAUCAAUAGUAAUAUGAGUUGGUAGCUUCAAUGAUUUUGCCCUCUCCUGAUGUACAAUAAAGUUCAGAAAGAAUGAAAGAAAUUACUCAAAGGCCUCAAAGAAUAGAUGAGACAGAAAAGAGCAAGUUGCAAAUUAUCCAAAAUCAACUGGGAAGAAAAGGAAUAAAGAUUAUUUAAGAAGACCAUCACCAAUUGUAUAAUAUGCUCUACGAAAUUUUCUGGCACUGUGGUAAAGUUGGUAAGAGAAAUAAGAUUACUGAAACGAAAAGAGGCUGCACCAUAUUAACAAUAAUGAAGGGUGUUAUACCAGGGUGCUGCUAAAAGGAACAGAUGUCUUGAUUAAUAGUUCGGCUGUUUUGAAGAACAAUAGUCAACUAGUUCAGUCAAAUAAAACAAAUAGUCGGUUGGGAGAAAAAAUUGGUUUCAGCAAGAAAUAACCUAGAUCAGCUUCUUUGGGAAUGUACAUUUGCAAGAUCUGUCAAUGGCGGUUUCUUGCAAGAAUUUGGUUUUUUGACUGCUUGUUACAGGGAUGUUCAGUUGAUGAUUGGGGAGUUCCUCCUCCAUCCGCCUUUCAAAGAGAAAGGUUGAUUUCUUGGUCUAUGGGGGGAGAGGAACAAUAAAGCAUUCAAUGGUGUGGAGAGGCACCCUCGCAAGAUUUGGUCUUUGAUGAAGUUUAAUGCUUUUUUCUUUCGGCUUCGGUUUUGAAAGCUUUUUGUAAUUAUUUCCUAGGCAAUAUCUUAACUAGUUGGAAACCCUUCCUUCAGUUGAAGCUUUUUGUAGACUUGGUUUUUUUGUGCACUUGUAUUCUUUCAUUUUAUUUCUCAACAAAGGAAAAGAAAAAAGGGCAGGUCAAUUGCUUAAAGAUAUAUUCAAACAUACAACAGAAUAGGAAACUAGCAAACAUCAACUAAAUGCAGAUGCGAUAUUAUUUUGACAUACACAAAAAAAAUAGCUAGAUAGCAUAAAGUCAGAGUGGAGAAAAAAAUAUCAGAGUGGAAUUGUUACUUGCAAAACUAGCAUGUCUUCCUCACUUUCUAUCUUCAGAACCACCUUGGGUUGCGCACACAUCUCCCACCUACAUGUAAAUAAAAUCAAACAACUGUACAUAGAACGAAGUAUACAAAAUAUCCCCAAUAUUAAUAUAGGGAGGACAUUUUUGUUGAUACAUACCUGUUCAAGGCUUUUGGUGCACGAUAAUGGAGCUUCUUAUAGAGACCCAAAGUUGCAUGACUAAUAAAAGCAAGUAAAGUAGAUUAAGAACGAUUCCAAAUCCAAUUUACAAUAGUGGGAAACUGGGAAUUCUAUGCAAAGGUUUUAGAAAUUUGGAUCACUAGAAUCAAUUCUCAGAAUUUAACUAUUAAACAAGUAAUAAGGCGGUACCUAAAAUUAUAUGAAAUUUCGGUCUCUCAAGUAGUAGUAACAUAAAAUAUUUGUGUAGGAUCGGUAAUUCUUUCAGUUACUAUCAGCCACAAAGUUAGCUGAUAAUUGCAAUAAUGUAAUAUGGGUUUUCUCAGACGGAACAAAUGUUUGGUUUUGACUCAUAGCAUGAGCCAAACUAUGUAAUAUUAAAAACUAUAUUUCCGAGCAUUACUAGAAUAUGGAUUUUGUAUUCUUCAAAAGUUUCAUGUUGCUGAUCCCGAUAAGAACUUUUAUACGUUUUUUUUUUUUUUUUUUCUAUCAUACAACCAAGUAAUUUACUUUAUUAGGGCCGUCCUGUAGUCCAGUUGGAAUGAGAGGAAUCAUCAUAUUUUUGCCAACAAGGAUAGGGAUUUCAAUAGUCUUUCUUAUUUGCCCCUUACUUUGUCAUAUUGUUUGAAUGUAGUUUUGAAGGAACAAGCAAUCCUAAGCUUACACUACUUAUGCAUGGCCAACAGUUAUGCACAUAAUAUUGAGUUUCAUGAAAAUCCACCAUGACGAUUGAAAGGUAUUUGUAGACCUUAAUGCUGGAGUUCAACAUCUGUUAAAUAAGGAGAUGAUCAUGGACUUAUAAAGGAGGACAACUAUCACUAAUAGAAUGAGGAUUUUUUAGGUGAAACCAAAAACAAAGUCAGAGAAUAUACGUCCAAGGUGAACAACAUCAUAACAUGGUGGAGAGAUUUGGAGGUUGGUUGUCCCUAACACUUAAUAUGAAAGGAUAGGAAACAAUAAAAACAAAAAGGCCAUAGAUUGUAUGCCUAAUUUUCACCUAAAAUUUUUUGAACUGUCAGUUUCUGUCAUAAACAGAGGAUUACAUGAUAAUGAACAAGAAAUAUAUCUGAGAAUAUAGUACCCUUCAUCUGAACAUUUAACUAUAAUUUACAUAUUAAAAGAAAAAGAAAAAAACUUAAUACUAUAUUCCUUAUGACUUCUAUCUAUUAUUUAACUAUCACCAACAAAGCAAAGAAUCCAGACAAUAAAUCUCCAAAACAGAUAACGAGAAAGCAGUUGAGAGAUCCACCAAACCUGAACACCUAGAUAAUGAAGAAUGAGAGAAUCUUCCUUAUAAAAUAAACUAAUCUUUUUAUAUAUAUAUCCAUUAGUGUCCAAACCAGCUUACGAACACCUCGAACUAAUCUCACAGGACAACCCAUCUAACCCUACAACAUUUGAGUGUCAAGGAAACUCAUGAAAAUUAAUUCUUAAGUAAGUGGCCACUAUUAGAUUGAACCCACUAUUAGGUGGCCACCUAGAUAAUGCACUCUCUUCUUCACCUUUCUCAUUUUCUGACCUACACUGCUUUAAAAAUUACUUCCCAUACUUUAUCCAAAAACUUUCUAUCACUUUUCUAGUCUCAUUUGCAAUAUAAAUGCAAGAUUUUGUCCGAGUUUGCUGAUCUUCUGAAAUUAUAUUUACAGGGAUUUUCCUAAUUCUUUCCAUUAGCUCUUUUGCUGCAGUUUUGUAGAUUGUAUUCAUCAACAACUUUCUUAAUUUUGACAGUGCAAUAUUUCAAAAGAAUAGUAGCACUAUUAUCUUCCAAAAUUCUGCAUUGUGAUAACUUUUACUUGAACCCUAUCAUCAUCCUAAAUGUCUCAUGUUAUUAUAGUCGUUCAUAAACUUUUGUUAAAUUUAUUAUGGUCAUUGUGAGUAUUCUACUAUAUCAGGUGAGCAGUGGAUUGUUAACCUAAACUUCUAAGCACUCCAUAUGUCCAAUUCUUGGGAGGACAAGGACGACGAUGCUAACGAAAACAACUCCAGCUUUCACACUACACGAGCAGCAAUAAAAUUUAAAUUUUCUUUCAUUGUUAGCAAUUAGCAUUUAAAAUAGCAAGUAAUGAAAGAGCAACAAAAAGGUGUUAAUAAAAUACCUGCAUUGGGCUGCGAUUUUUCCUUUUCCCAUUUUCAAAUCAUUUCUCACAACUAAAACCUGUAGAGACACGGUUAAAAGUUGAUACUAUUUGUUAGAAAAAAAGAUCAUUAAAGUUAUUGAGAAUGAUUUUCUAAUAGAUAGCACGAUAGAAACAGAGAUAGACAGAGACACUCAGAAGCAUACCAUCUUGAAGUCAUCCAGAAUGUCAGCCAAAUUUUCGACCUCCAGUGGCUCUUUAGUCUUAUCCUUCUUCUUCCCAUUUCUGCUUGAUUCAUUGCUUUUGGCUAAUUUAGCUUUGACAAAGACCCGAGGAGGAUACUUUGAACCAAUAUAGUAUCCCAAAACAAGGCAGCCGGCCCCAACUACAAUGGCACUCAACCAUGCCAGAUCCAUCCAAUUAUAGUCUAUAAAAUGCACUUCUCCACUACUGAAGUCCAGCAAGAAUAAUCCUGGACCAGAUACCAAAUUCUAAUUCUAGCAAUAGAACUCCUACAUAGAACAUGAAAAGCUCAAAAUUAAAACUCGCAAACAGUAAAUACAAAGAGAAAAGACCAAUUGAAAGAAACAAAGAUAAAGAUAAAAAUGAAUGAAAUAGCAGCUAUUUACUCAAAUUCAGGAUUAUGAAAAACACAAAAAAAAAAAAAAAAAAAAAAAACUAUUUCUUAUGCUUUUCAGAAAACGCUAAAAACGUUUUGAAUUGCAUUUACCACCGUUUGGAACUACGAUUUUAAAUCAGAAUGAACUUCAAAUCAUUUAUGGGGAUUUGAAUGAAUAGAAACAUAGAAGUUAGUAAUCAAAAUGAUUUGAAAUCUUGUUUUGAUCCAAACAUUGUCCGACUAAAAUAUGUCGGAAUAAUAGAAAUUGCAAUGAUUCCAAAAUUUGGUCGAAACAGAGAACAGCUAAAGAAAGAGAAUGGAAAAUAGAACUUUGAUGGGGACGAUAGACCUCGAGAUAGUAGCAUUUCGGCGUGAGAUCGCAGUAGAGAGUGAGAGAAGAGAAGGGGAGAGAAACUGAGUGCAGGGGCGUGCUGAGAAUCGGCAAUGGCAACGGUGAAGAUGAAUAGAGAAUAAAGAAAUCAAAGAAAGAGAGAAAUAGGCGUGGGUGUGGCUGCCGCAGGGAGUGAGGGAGAGAAGCGUUGGGUUUAUGGGGUGGGUGGCGAUCUGCGGCUGCGACACAGAUGGGAGAUGAAGGAAAAAGAGGAGAUGGGGGUGGAGAAAUCUCUUUCUUUUUUUGGAUCAAUCUUUCUUUUCAAAUUUUAAAAAACUCUUUCAAGUGUGCAAGUGAGGUUUUUUUUGCUACUUUUAUUGAAAAUUUUAAAAUAAUGGAAGAUAUCAAAUGACCAAAAUAUCCUUGUUAUUCAAAACGUUACAUCUUCUCCGAAAACACUAAACUCCAAACAUUUAGUUUCGUGUGGAGCAAUCGAAGACCAUGUCAAGUAUAAAAUAUAAGUGAACAAUUGGGCAACUUCACAUGUUUAUGAAAACUGUCUUUUGGCACUUCUUGGACAUGAUGUUGGUAUUCUACUUUAUCAAACUUGCGAUAAUGGGUCAGGGGAGGAGGCAAUUGCUACGUCUCAGGUCUAGGAUUCAUACCAAGAAGUUACUCAACUUAGAAUUGAUCCAAGCUAAGGACGCUGAACUUUGGAGUUCCUAUGAUUGAAUAACUAAAAAGGAAAGUGCACUUUGUUGGUAUAGAUAGUAACUUUUAAUUUUUUAAGUCUUUCUUAACCUUACUUUUAUGUCCUCGAGAUCUAUCUCAUUUAGAUGUGAUACCGGUUCAUUCAUGUCCCCCUCCUAAACUUGGGACGUUUCAACAACACAUGGAUUGGACGAUGUUGGACCUGAUUAACGACUGAGAGGACUUCCUCAGUUACGCCUGAAGUGAGUUGGUAUGAACCAAGACCUUCGCUAGGUUGAAAUGGGCACUUCAUAGAAAGAGGCCUUGCACAAGAAGAAACCUGCAAAUAACAUGUCCCCAGAGUCGUAUAGCCUCUACGAAUUUCCCUUCACCUUUUAGGUUUGUGAUUAUAUGCUCACUGUGUUUUAUUGAUUUCAUUAAGUAUAUGCUUGUGUUAACAGUAUCAUUGUAUUUGUAGGUCUGGGCCUAUAAGACAACGUUGUCCAUCUGUGAGUAGGUUGCCCAUAGGGAGUCAUCAUCUGCGAUACCACGGAUCAUGUGAUGGAGUUAACAAACUCACCUAGGUUGAAGGUAAUAAUUGAGUCCCAUAUUUUUGAGUUGCAAAUGGUACAUUACAAUUCAUUUUCUUCUUCCAAAUUCACUAUAGUAUUCUAAGGUUUUGUCUCUUAAUUAGCACCAGUUAUGUUCAAAUUUCAAGCCUGGAUUCAUUAGUUUUAUAAAAUCUGUGAAGGUUAGGUUGUGAUUGGAGUUAGAAUUGAGAAGUCAUCGAAGGUGUGACAUUAUUAUUGAAAAGGAGAAAAGACAAGCUAAGGUGGUUAAGAUGUUUUUAAUGUUAGGUUGACAAAAGGAAAAUUUUGGCUAACUCCACGUGUUGCUGAAAAGAGCAUGGUAUUGAAAAACGAAAGGUUAGACGCAACGGAAUUAACACAAAUUCUUUUUUCUAAAUUCUAAAGUAUAAAUAGACCUUACAUAAAUAAUUAGAUUACGAAUAAACAUACAUCUUGCUCAUACUUUCCAAAACGUUUUUUACUUUUUAGGUAGGAAGUCAUGAUUUGGAAGCCUGAUUCGCCACCGUCUGUCUGCUGGUGGAUUUUGUCUUUUCUAUCGUAGGUGUCUUUUUGUUUGAAGCUAGGUACAUUUGGUCUUUAUUUGUGUCAGACUUAAGUUGGAAUCGGUUGGAGUUGGAGUCCGUCUCCAUGUAUAUAUAAGUUUUGUAAAUGUAUGUAUAAAACUUAUGUCAAAGUUUGUUAAAUAAGUGAGUUGCAUUGCAAUUUUGUUUAUUAGUUGUGUAAUUGGAUUCCGCUAGCAUUUUAUUUAAAGGUUAGGUGUUAAGAGUCAACUGGUGUCGUUUAGAGGGGGAGCGACAUUGAUUGAUUUCAUGUCGUCUUAAAGAUCGAGAAUAGGUGAUCCGAGAGAGGUGUGACAGUUGGAAUGGUUUGAAUGUCAUCGUUCUUCAUCCUCUACUACCAUCCACUUUUAAUUGAAAGAAACUUGGUGUAGUGGACAUCUCAUGUUAUCCUAUUGAGCAACUAAGAGCUAACCCCAAGGUAUAGAUUAUUACUUUCAUCUCUCUAGGUAUUGAACUUACACGAUACGAAGAAACACUUUUAGAGCUAAUAAUUAAUUGUAUAACAACAUUUUAAAUGAAUUGCAGAUGUAGCGAAAUUUGUUAGUGAUAAACUCCAUUAUUAAUAGACUCCUAUUAGGGACGAAAUCUUUAUUACCAAUAGACUUCUAUUAGUAGUAUGACCUAUAUAAUCUAAAUUAUGUUAUAUAUACAAAUUCUUUUGCAAAGUGCGAUAUCUAUUAAUACUUUGAAUUUGAGUGCAAUAUUUGCAAUUGCUCCUAAUGGUCACACCAGAACGGAAGGUUUAAAUAAAUGUAUUAAUAGGCUUAAAAUGUUGGAAAAACCUCUAGUUUCACACCAUGAACAAACAAAAUAUUAAUAAUAAUAAUAAUCGAAAACUCAAAACAAAAAAAAAAAUGUUGAAAUGAUUUGAACGUAUACAUGGCUUUAGCAUGAGCUCUCACUAAUCACUUAGAUAUUUGACCAUGAGACCUCACUAAUCGCUUAAAUAUUUGAGGUUUGACGCAACACACUCUUGAAAUCUAAAAGUUGCAUCAUCUCUAUAAAUUAUUUAUUGUUUACGAUUUUAAUAAAUUAUUUAUUAUUUACAAUUUUGAUUUGAGAGUUUAGAUGAAUUUACUGUAUAAAUUGCACUUAUGAGUGAUGUAUUUGUAUUCUUUAUAUUCUCUCCGUACAUAGAUUGCACUUACAUAUUUAUAUUCUCUCUUUGUCUAAUUCCCAUGAAUGUAAUGCAACUAACAUACAUGUUAACCAAACAAAACAAAUCUUAAUGUCCAUUAUUCAUUGUUUAAUUUUUUUUUUUUUUUUUAACUUUGAUUGUCGAGUUCUUAACAAAACAAAAACAAUACAGGAAUUGGAGAAAAACCAUGACCUAGAUUAAAGAAAUCCACUCGUACGUGAAUUUUUUUUGACAAACUCUUUGAGAGUGGUUGGAGUCCAUCACAAAAGAAAUCUAAUGAGGGACAUAAAGUUGCAAUUAAUAAUAAUUAGAAAAAACAAACAAUUUUUCUAGAAAAACGAUAUACUGAUUUAAUAGUUCAAUUACAUAGAUCUAAACAAAUUGAUUACACCUCGCAAAUAGAAAUGGUUGUAGAAAAAUAUACCAACACACCAAAAUGCACAAGUAGAAGCCAAGUAUCUAAACAAGGAAAGCCGGGUAUCACAUAGCAUAUAUAUAUAUUCAUAUACAUAUAUGAAUAUAUAUAUAUAUAUGCUAUUCUUACAAUCGAUGUAAUUUAGCGUAUAUGUAUGUAUACUCCUAAUACUAAAACUAAAUAAAAAGCAUUCAAAAUAUAUCAAACUGAGAUCAAAAUUAGGAAGCUAAGAGAAUUGGUCCUCACAUUGUUUUGGCCAAAUAUAUAAGAUUUUGAUAUAUUGGAGCGCAGCAAUUCUUAGGAUGACUUUAAGAAGAAUUUCCCACAUGUUUCCCUUGAUCCUCCUCAGCUAAAACCUUCUCCUUCGUUUUCUGGCUAACAUCUACAGCAGCUUUUGCAACUCGUUGAAAUGUCUGGCUAACCCAGGAAGCCCCGGUUAAGACGUAGCGGUUAGUCAUUAUAGCUGAUCCAGCGUUGCUCACAGCUGCCUUAGUCUUCUCAGACACUUGAAACUUCUCAUCCAUUUCCCUCACUUUCUCAUUCACCACGGUAGUGCCAACACUAAUUUUCUCACUAAGGCCGAUUUUUUGGUCCAGAGAAGCAACUUUGGAUGAGGCUGUUGAAGUCAAUUGGUGCCUUUCGUCAAAAGACUUCGCCUUAUUAAGGGCAUCUUUGCCCAAAGUGAAGCCUUUGGCUAGCAUGCUGCUGACAACAUCCUCUGCCUUUUGCAUUGCAGAUCCAGCAGUAGAAUUAGUAGUAGAGGUUGUGUUGUCUAAAGCCUGGUGAAACAUGUUUAUUCAUUCAUGUUAUGAAUCACAUUAUGAACAAGAUUGAAAAUAUAUUGUCGAGGGUAAGAUUGAAGAAAAUACAGGAGUAGACACGGGUACAGCUACAGGGGCACUGGCAUCAACUGCAGGAAGGUUGUAAUCUGGAGCCGAAGAAAUGCUUACUGGCUGAUCGACAAUUGUAGCUCCCUUAGAGAUGCAAAACCGUUUAAUUAGGCAAGAUAACAAAUGAAACAAGAAGAAGCCUAUAACAUAAAUUUCUUAGCUCUCCGGUUUGAAGAAGAGACUAAUGUAAAUAUUGGAGUAGAAAAAGGAAAAUCGAUAUGAAUGGAAGAUGCCUCUUUCACAUGUGGUAGCAAAGAAAUUAUUUAACAUGAGGGACAGAAAAAGAAGUUUUCCAUUGUUCAGAUGUUUGAGAAUGAAACUGAAAGAAUAAUAUCUAUGAAUCAAGAGUUAUACAUAAAUGUAUGAAAAACUUAUUAAAUCUCACCUUUCUCUGAAGAAUAAAACUGUGUUCUAUUUAAUUUUCAAAACGUAACAUCCCCGUAUAACCACUUUUCAUAACAAAAUAAAUUUACUACUGUUCAGGAAUCAAUUUCUAAUGAAAGUUUAAAUAUAAGCACAUUAGAAUGGAAAAUAAUCAAAUAAAAUCAUUCAGAAGAUCUGGAGAUCAAGAAGGAUAAUCAAAAUAGAAGAAGAAAAGAUAGAGAAUUGUAUCAACCGAGAGUAGAAUCGACGUCUCUGCCCCUUUUGAAUCCUUGAAGGUAACAAAUGCAAGUUGAGAUCGCUCAUUGUCACUAUAAGAACACAGCAUAAAAUAAAUGAAAAUGCCCAAAAAAAAAUUAAAAAAAAAAAAAAAAAAAAAACUCAUCGACAUUAAAAAAAACAGCCAAAAUCAUACUUACUUUCUCAUUUCGACAAAUUCAAUUUCACCGGAAAAGGAAAAGAAGUCUCUCAAAUCUUUCUCUGUCGCGCUUAAGGAGACAUUGGUAACUCUCACCGUCCUCGUCUGUAACCACCAUAAACAACAAAAAAGAAGAAAAAAAAAAAACAAACAAACUUUAACAAUUCAACAAAAAAAAAAACCAAAAUCAAAGCCGAAUUUCAACAGUUUUCGUUUCGGUGUAUCAUAACUUCCUCCUUCAUCGUUCGAAAUUUUACUUCCAGUCUUUUGCCAUUAAGACACCGAAAAAACGCAAUUUCCAUCUCCUCAAUACAGCUCAUAAGAAAUUACGGGAAAGAAGAGUGAAAAUUGGCGAUUGAUUCUUAAAUCAUAAUUGAUAUUGAUAACAAGUAGAACUAAGGCAUCAGAUCAAUAAAAUCGCAAGAAAUUAAACAGAUUGAGAAGACAAUGAACAGAAAAGAAACAAAAAAUUGAACACGUACCGCCAUGAUUCUUCUGUUUGAUUCACCUGAGAGAUUUGCCAAUUCAAAUUCUUAGAGAGAGAGAGAGAAAGAGGAGAAAAGAAGAAGGAAGAAUGCCCUGAGAGUUGUGUUGUGGCUUGGCGGUUGUUUAGGUUCGUAGUAAUACAUAUGGCAAAAUAAAAUAAAAAACUGACUCAUUCCAUUUCUUUAUUUCUUUCCUUUUUCUUUUGAUAUUUCGGAUCAACUUAGACUUAUCUUAAAUAAUCUCACUAAACAACACUAUAAUAUUUAAUGAUAAAAAAAAUUAAUUUAUAAGUGAGUGACUUAAAUUAAAAUUUAAUUUGUUAGUAAGUGAUUUUUUUUCAUUUUAAAAUUUAAAGUUUGGAAUAUGGGUAGGAUUAUGUUAUGUUGAACUAUGCUAUGGUAUUGAGUUUUAGUCAAUAAAAUCACUCAAAUAUUAUAUUAUACUAAAUGAAAAAUGUUAUAUUUUUUUUAAUUUUUUUUAUAUUUGUAUUGUUGCUUAAGCUGAGAGGACAAUCAGACCAUAACCUACCACAUCUGUGUCCGAAUUGAACCUCAACACACAUUCUCGUAAACAUAUAUUCAACGUUAAAAAUUAUUUGUUAUUAUGCUUUGUUAAUUCUCGUUACAAAGCAUAAACAAAUGGAGAAUUGUUUUUCUCUUGAACUUAAAUGGAUAUUCAUCAUCAUUUGGUGGACUUAAUGGUAUUCCGUGGAAGAAAAGCUUGUUUUUCUGUGUGAUCAUCCAUUGCUAUUUCUGCAUGCAUAAUGUUUUUGUUAAAUGAUCGACGUACCAAUCUUGUUCCAUUACACAAUCUAUUGGAUGGAUCCAAAUUUCUCAAAAAAUAUAUAUUAUAAGCAUUUCAUAUCCUUUGAAAGAAAACUGAAAUAUGGUGUAGUACCUUACUAAUUAGACGUUUCCUUUAUCUCAUAGUAUUGCAUCCAAACAUUGCCUUUGCCAUUCACAAAUUAAGUCAGUUUGUUUCUAAACUCUAUCAAUCUCACCUCAACGCUGCUUAUUCUCAGCUUUUGUAUUUUUAAGGAACUCAUGGCCAAUGCGUUUCCCUUCAAGGUACAAGUUCUUUUCAAUUCCACGUGAAUAGGGAUCUUGUUUAGAUACAAGAAAAUAUACCACAUGCUUUGGCAUUUUUCUAGAGGAUUCUACGUGAUAUCGUGGAAAUCCAAGAAACAAAAAACAAUAUCUCGAUCUUUUGUUGAAGUCGAAUAUAGAACCGUUGUAGCUACCACAAGUGAGCUCGUUUGACACACACAGCUCAUUCUUGAUUUACACAUCUCCAACUUUGCUUUAGCUUUGAUAUUUUGUGAGAACACUUCAACCAUCCAUAUUGCAAACAAUCCAGUUUUUUAUGAGCGUACUAAACACAUUGAAUUGGAUUGUCAUUUUAUUCAUGAUCAUAUUCUCAAAAGCAAUGUAAAACCGAUGCCCAUCCAUAUGCAUAUGCAACUAGCUAUUUUAUUUACAAAACCGUUGCCUCUGUCCCCUUCAGAAGUGUUAUUGUCCAAGAUGGAAAUUAUCAUUUUUCUUAGCCCCAUCUUGAGGGGGAGUAUCAAAGUUGUUAUGAAUAACUAGUUUUUGUUAUUCUUCUGCUAGUUAAAAUAAUUAUAAAUAUGAUAUUUUAUCUUUGCUUUUUACCUUCCUGUGAUUGGUUAUAAAUAACCCACUACUACUAGAAAAUUGGGAUUAAGGAUGCUAAAUAUGUGUCAUAAACAGUUUCGUGACACAUAUUGUGCGUCUUUGAAACCCAGGUAAAGAUAGGACAUUCAGUGACGCAACAAAAUAAGUAUAGUUAUUAUUGCAAACCCUAACAUUCAUCAAUUUUCACAAUUAACUAAGUUAAUAGAAAUAAACUGGCAUUGUUGAGGUCCGAAUUGGUUAAUUAUUAUAACAUUUCCCUUAAUGACGACAUGUUUUUUGUGUCAUUGAUUGACUUUUAAUAACAUUUUAUUACUGUCUACAUAUAAACUCUCAUAACACUCUUGUUGUGUAAUUACAUAAUUUUACAUUUCCUGAUGUAAAAAGAAUAUAAUUAAUAUUGUCAUGAGACACGUUUUUCUGUCAUUUCUCAUACAAUUCAAAGAUUCGAGUACCAAUAUAUUUGUAAACUGAACUCAUCAAGUUCCCAUUGAAAUAGGAUCCACACAAGGAAAAGCACUUGCCAUUCGUUGGUUAUUAGGGGCAUCCCGAAAACGUCCCGGUCGAAAUAUGGCUUUCAAAUUCAGUUCCGAAUUAGUGGAUGCUGCCAAAGGGAGUGGCGAUGCCAUACGUAAAAAGGAAGAGACUCAUAGAAUCUAUAUAUUGAUAAUAAAAAAUUAUAUUACAUAUAAAGUGAAAACUAAAGCAUUGCAAUGAAAUACAUUACACAUAUCCUUAACAAUAAGAAUAUAAAAACUAACCUAUCUAUUGCAACAUGUUUCUAUGGUCUACAGAUUCUUUGGAAACAUGCAAAAUCACAGUGAAUGAAUGGUAAGUACAUGCCCAUAUGAAGAUUUCUUGGGAGGCAAUUUUUUUACCUAUACAAAGUGUUGUAACUUUACCCAAAUUAACAAUCACAUGAUUUAUAUAUAUAAUGUUAUAACAAGCACACAAAAAGCUUAUGAACACAUAAAACUCAACGGAAAUCAUAAUAAAAGUAAGCGAAGUUUAUUUAGCUUUCUUCUCCUUUAACAAAAACCACCAAAUCAAUUGAAAAUAAUUUGAAAAUGAAAGAAAGAAAAGGCCACCAAAACGGAAAUAUGUGUUGUAUCACAAUCAUGUAAAUUAUUGCCUCUUUAUCAUUAUUAUUUUCUCAGAAGAGUUCGUGAGAGAAUAAAACUUCAUUUGAUUUACUACAGAACAUCAUCCAAAUUUCAACAACCAGUUAACACAAAUGAUAAAUUGAAACUAGUUUCAUGACAAUUCACCUUUGACAUAUAUAUGCAGAACUUUAAUCUAUGCAUCAUAAACUGAAAAAUUACCUAUUUGAAUGAAUGACGAGAAUAACAAUUAACAACGAUACUUGUAUAGUUUGUAGAAGAAAUUACAUAACCUUUUCUUUCAGUUCCUUUGCCACUCCAUAUUUUCGGUCUCCUCUGCUUUACUCACUCACUCAAACUCUCAGCAUUUCAAACAAGAACUUGGGCUUUAAAAGCCCAAAGUUGGCCUACUUUAGAAAUGGAUGGUACUGCGUGUGCCUAAGGCAGAAGACACCGUCCCCCGUCCUCAACUUCCCGCCUCAAUUGAACCUUCAUCCGUCUUUGUCGUCCCUUCACGCAAGAUUUCCACGCUGCCAUUCCUCUUCAUCAGUCACCCACUACUCGCUCACGACUCAUCGACAUUCCAGAUCGCUCAGGCCACUGGUUGGUGAUUUGUCUCAGAUCCGGCUGCAUUCGGUCUCCGCCCUUCGAUCCUUGACUCCAACGUUGGUAAGCAUCGCUUUCCCCUCAUAUUUAAUUUGUUUCAUGACCUUCGUAACCCAACAUGAGACACUUCCUCUAGAUUUCCCCCAUUUCGUUCUUCAAAACUGAAGAAAUAUUUGAAUACCCAUAAUCUUGAAAUCACAAAACUUCACAAAUAAAUGGUAAUAAUAGAAGCUGGAAGGUUGUCUGCUCCUUCAAUCUUCCUUGCUUGCCAAUUCACUAUCUUCUCCUCAACUUCAUUAUAUCAAACGUUCCCUUUCAACAAAAUUAAACUAUUAGAAGAUUAAGCAUGCGGAGGAUUCUCCAGCUGAACAUAAAUUUCCACCCUCCAUUCUACUUCCAAAUUUUCAUAAUACGCUCCGUCUUGUUCCAAUUUGGACGUAUUUGGAAAAUUAUUUUUGGAAUUGAUCGACAUUUAGUAAAUUUUUGGAGCUUUUGUUAAUAACUUAUGAACUUAUCUAUCUGGAAUUUCAGAUAUUGGGUUUUAGAAUCUACCUUAAUAAGAAAACACCAAUGGCAGAACUUAGUCUGGGUAUAUUGAUAGACAUUCUAGAUGAGGAAUGGAUGAGAGACACACUCCCUCAUGAUGGUAAUUCUCAAUCUUCAUUUCUCUACAAUCAAGAAAUUAAUUGUAACAAGCUAUAUGGCUUAUUUAAUCUAGUUUUUCUAUCAUUAUCGUAGAUCUUUUACUCCCUCCCGUGCUGGUUGUUCGGGCUGAUGACACCGAGGACUCAAGUAUGUCUCUAACUUCUAACUCAAUGUUCGGUUAAUAACACAUGGAAAGAUUAUUCCUUUAAUUUUGGUAACACAUUCUAACCUGAAGCAUGUUUUUGCACUUGAUAUUAAAUUUGGUACAUGGGAGUUCCUAAGUCAAGAAUCAAUGAGUCUGCAAUGCUUUCAUAGUGUUUUCGUAACUUCUGAAAAUGGAAAGCAGGAUGCUACAAAUCUUGUUUUCUAUUUCUUUUUAUAUUCGCGAGUUUCUAGGCCAAUUUACGCCUAUCGGCUAUCGCAACAAAUCUCACUUGUAGGAUAUAAAAUCCUAUGUAGGCUACAAUCCAUUUCUCUUAACCCUUUAUCAAACUCAAUACCCUUUAUUACCAUCGGCUCAACCCAUGAAGAUGCUUCAAAGUUAAAUGUAAUACUUGAGAGCGAAAUGGUUGCAAAAAGUUUGUAUCCUAGAUUUUUCGAAGGCUCAUUAAGCUAGCACUAAGAGACAACAAAAGCUUUUAAUUUAAUGAUUUUACAACCGAAAAAUUUAUGUCCUAGAUUUUGAAGGUAUCUCCCAACAUCAAAAGUGCUUACUACCACCCCUACAAUCCCAAUGCCCUUCAAGGUCUUAAAUUCUUGUUUUACACCUGAAGGCUCAAGCUCAAGACAGCCGUUCAUUCCCCUCAUUAUCACCUUUUGAGUUUUGGCCUCUGAAUAUAUUUUCUUCUACUUUUUGUCUUGUGGCUUAAUGGUUAUCGUGCAGUUGUGAAAAUUGUGAAUAGGAAGUAAUAAACCGAUCUUUAAUCACUCUGUUAGAAGCACUAAAGAGCUUAGGAUGGUUAUUUUUGUCUCUACUUCUUACCGUCUCUAGUCUAAGUUUUUGUUGUAACUGUAAUUAUUGCUAAGUAUUGCUUGUGUCAAGUGAGAAACCUUCACUGUAAUUCUAAGCUUGUCUAGGUACGUCUCUUAAAAAUGAAAAUAUCCUUUUGGACUUCCUAAUUCACCACUUUCCUGAUACCUCUUUGUUUUAUUUCUUCUUCUUUCUGUCAUCUAUGAUGUUGACACCAUAAAGUGCAUCUUUCACUUAAAAAACACCAUUCAAUACUGAUAAUAUGAAAAUCAAUUAGUUUUUUCUCUCUAUUUUUGGCUUGCCAAUUGUAGCAAUUUGCAGGAGAAUUCAUUUUUUGAUCCCCUUUUUCUCUUAACUUCUUUGCAGAUCAGGAGACUCAGCCAGUUGAUACUGAUACUUGGCAUGAUCUUGCCUUAGGUAACCAAUGAACCGCCUUCUCCUAACUAAGGGUUGUCUGUUUUCAAGAAACUUGCUUCGAGUUAUAAAUUUUAUUAUCAAAUUCUCUUGCGGUAUUUGUAUCGUAGAUUGUCAUAUUUCACUAAAAUCCAUGUUGUAGAGUUAGGUAGAAAGUGUUUGUUUGUGGUAAAAGAAAUUAUGUACAUGUUGGUGGCAGUCAGUUAAGACUAUUGAUGGAUUUGCUGUUCUCUUUUGUAAUUUGUUGUGUGAAGACAGAUUGAAAUGUUAUUUCUUAUUAUGAGAUCUUUGUUCAAUUCCACUUGGAAAAAACUUUAGAGUUGCUUCUAAACUUAAUGGUUUUAAAAGGAGUACUACCAUCAGAUUGUUUUGGUCCUUCGGUAAAGAAGAUUUUAAUUAUUCCUCCAUGUCUUAAGAGUUUGUUUCAGCAUUCAUUUUCUAAGAACAUGUUUUAUUUUAUUUUACUUUUCAAAUCAAGAGAACUUAUGUUAAAUGCUCAACUUACUUUUGAAAUGUUUGUUUUAGUUCCUUGUGUUCAUUUAUUUCAUUAAUUUUCAAAAUGUUAAGGAGUUCAUGGAUUAAUAAUGUGGCUUCUUAGUUAGCUUUGCGCCAAACUGAUAGACAAUUGGUAAAAAAAUUAUGAAAACACAAAUAACUUUAAUACAUAUGAAAAUCAGUAAGUAGAACAAUUUCCCAUGAUAUUUUGUAUAAUUUAGCCUAUGUAGAAUCAAUUUAAAUUAAUUAGUUUAGGGUUUUUAACAUUACGAGCUUUUUGUAUAGGUUACGAGUUACCCAUCACAAACGCCCAUCAGGGUUACGAUAUAAAUAUUAUGUGCAACACAUGAGUUGCAAAAAUGUAAAUUUUUAUAAACCGAGGGAACCAAUUAAGCAUUGAAAAACUAGCGGAAUCGAUUUCAUCAUCAAUUCAACUGAACGACAAGCAGUUUCCUACAAGUGAGAGCCCAUUUUUUCCAACGUCAUUUGGAAUCUUUUUUAAUAAUAUAAUUUUAAAAAUAAUGUAAAAAAUAGGGUAGACGAUUCACAAUGCUGAAGUCAUGUAUAGGGUACACGACUUUGGCCACACUAUGGCAGUAAAUGCUUCCGUUGAUUGUUCAUCUGUCCAGCAUGCAAGGAGUCGUGUACGGUACACGACUUCGUCACUUUAAAUUAGCCCUAGCCGCCGAGCAUUCUGCCUUCCAUCUUCAAUUUCAUUUAGCCUUCCAUUUUCUAUUUCCAUAUUUAAUCUCCCUUCCAUCUGAAUCCGCCUUCCACCAUCUUCCUUAUGCCUUCCAUCUUCAUUCGUCCUCCCUUGCAGAAAAUCCAUCUGCUGUCCAUAAGGUAUAUUUAUUUUCACUUCCCGCCCCCUAUCCCAUUUACCAUCCCUAUGAAUUUUCCCACAAGGAAUGGGGCAGGGAUUCCAUGAGGAUUGGUUCCCUGCUAGAAAAUAUUUUCCACUUUUGUUUUAAAUUUUUUUGAUUUGUUUUUUGUUUUUCAUAAAUAAAUAUAAAUAACUAAGAAAAGUAAAAUUUUGCGUAAGUGUUAAAGAGAAUACAUUUUGACUGAAACUAGGCGAUAAGAGUUGGUAUUUGAGUAGUUCGCGAGAAAGAGUUAUGUGAUAGGAUGUUUGGCAUCUUAGUACAACUAGGCGAUUAAAGUCUUCACGAGUUGGAACUAGACGUUGAAGAAAUGAAACUUCUGAAAAUUUUCAUAAGUUUACUUAAUGGGUCACGUGUGAAGGUUUUAAGCUAAGCAGGAUUAAGUGAAACCUUAAACUUACACAAGUACCAUAGAGUAGGAGCUGGCAAAAUGAUAAGAGUUUAAAGGUGACUAAUCCAUUUUAGGAUUAGUAUAAAUAGGGGGAUGAAGUCAGAUUGUCAAGUAUUGUUACUUUGAAAAAUUGAAGAGAAAAGCGAAGUGUUGAAGUGUUGCUGAAGUGACUACACGAGAAGGAGAAGAAGAGGGGCAUUUAGAGUAUGUGUUUCUAAGUUGUGUGAGUGUUUUUCCUCAAAGUAUUUUAUAUGUUUGAAAGGUUUUCUUUAAAGUCUUUAUUGAUUUGAAACGACAAUUUCAAUAUGAAUGUUUCCAAAGAGAUUCAUAUGAAAAGCUUAUGCUAUGUUUCAAAGUAUAUUUUAUGUUAUACUAAUGAUUUGUGAAAUAAUGUUUAAACCAUUAGUCUUCAUCCUAUCAUUGAGCUAACUGUUAUGUGCACAUAAAGAGUAAACACAUUAUGUAUAAAAGACUUGCAUGGUGGAAUGAGGCUAGACAAUGCUUAAAAAUGUGUAUUGCACUUCGACCUAAGUAACAGAGAAUGAAUCAGAAUAUUCUCGAAUGUUAUUGAAGAGAAGGUCAUCAUAGUAGUCUAAACGGUAGAUGAUGAGUCUUAGCGUGGAGAAUGAUUCAGCUUCUUGGCGAAAGAAAUGCUAAUAGACUAGUGUGUGUUUAUGUGAAGUUAUAUGUUUAUGCAAUAUAAUUUAUUUACGUGAAAAGAUGUGUUUAAGCAAUUUAAUGUGAACAAAAGAUGUUACCAAAGGUAUUUCAUGAAAAGGUUUUUCUAAAAGAUCUCACCGAGUCUUUUGACUAACGUUUUUAAGUUUUAUCUACCAGGUUUCAGGCGUUAAGGCCAAGUAAAGAAAUGAUGAGAAGCUUGAUAAGCGAGAAGGGUUGUCGAGGCGUUUAGUUUAAGCUUAAGUGUUGCUUUUGUAUUUUUGUUAAGAGUUAUAAUAUAAGCGGAUUGUAUAACACAUGUUUCAAGUAAUAAAAGUUUUAAGUUUCGGUUACUUAUAUAGUAUUAAGUUUGUUUAUCGCCUAAAGUAUGUUUUCUAAGUUAAGUUUAAGAAGCCAGGUGGUUAAGCAAAACUGAAAGACCUCAAACUUAGUAAUUUUGGCGUUUAAUGCGUCAAAAGUACUCAAAGUCAUGUCGCGUCUCGCAUGGUAACUUAAGACGCAUGCAGGACGGGGUCUGACAAGUUGCCUAAGACAUACUUUCUUCAAUACACUGCACAUUUAUACAUUUUCAAUUUUUCAUUCAUUCACUAUUAAUUUGUCAAAGUGUUAUAAGUAGUUUAGGCUUGUGAUAAGUUAUUGGUAAGAAGUCUAACCUAUAAGGUUCAUUGCAUUGGUUGAGCUUCACACAUCGCUUGGCCAAUGUCUAUUGCCAGCUACUUAAGAGAGUAAGUAGCAAGGAUAUAAUCAACGCACGUAAAGAGGAGUUUGGACAAACUCCACCUUGCAACUAAACCUCCAUCACUUGUGUUUCGAAAGGAGAACAAGUGUGUUGUCUUGGUGCUGGGAGGUUGUCACCCUUGAAAGAGAGGUAACAUAAGUCUUAAAAGCAACAACUUUUAGAUAGCAAUCACUUAAUAAAUCUUUAUCAUUUGCAUCCCGAGAGGUGAGCAAGUGUGGUGUUUAAGACACUAAGAGGUGCUCGCCUUAAUUAGAAGCUAGUUAAUUGAUCUCUAUUGCAUCACGACUUAUCGUGUAAUUUUAAUCACUUACAAUGCGGAGACCUUCCUUCACAAUUCCUCAACACAAGUUAGUUCAUUCUCCAAUUUCCUCAUCAUGCUUACCACUUUUUACAUAAUCUCUAGUGUAGAUACUAGAUUUAGCUUAAACACACAUUUACUUUAUACCGUGUAGUUAUUUUAUACCGCCUAAAUGAAGAAGUAGGCUUUAUAACUAAGAUUUGAUAUCAACUUUUAGAUGCAUCGAGAAAAACAGUUUUACGAGUUUUAGAAAAAUGUGUUAUUUUUAUAACAAAAAAAAAAUGUACUACUUGUUGUAACUCUUUGAUCCACUCCUUGCCAUUCAUCCGAAGUUUUUAAAGUUUUUUUGUUUUUCAAAUUUCACACUUCUAUCCUCAUUUCUCGUUCUUAUGAGUUUCUUGUAUAUGGACAAAGUUGAUGUCUAUUUGGUCCCCUGAUUUAAAAUUGAUGUCUAUUUGGUCCAUAAGGUUUCAAAACAUAUACCUUAGUUUGGAGGUUUACAAAAUGAUUUUAAAUAUGGUUAUGAUAAUUACUCCAAAAAUCUAAUUAGUUAGUUAGAAAAUGUAUUAAAAUUUUAAUCCUUUUUUAACACAAUAAUAAACAAAAUUAAAACUGAUAAUCCCACUAAUGGGAUUACCAGAUUUUCUCGAGUAUUUUUCAUAAAUAAAAAAUAGAAAGAAACUCUUUUGGUUUCCCUCUUUCUUUUAAUUCUCCACAAUCCCCCGCGUCAUGUUUACAGCCGCCGGUGUUUAUUCUUCAACUCCGGCCAUUCUCCAUAGAUCCUCGAAACCCUCCGCCGUCAGCAGUCUCAGUGCCACUCCGACCAACGACGCGUGCCGCACCUACACUAUUGACAACUGUUUGCUGCUCCUCUACUGUUGCGACUAGCUGCUUUUCUACACCCUUGCAGACGGAGACCCACGUCGCACGAUGAUGCUAUAAGGCCAAAAAUAUUUACCCAACAAUGAGGUAAGCAUAAGGCCAAAAAUCGUGGGUCUUCAAAAGUUAGGCCAAAUAUCAUUUGUACCUCUCAAAAUAAGCCAUCCAUACAAAAAAAGAACAAAAAACCCUUCAAUUUGUUCCCCAGUUCUUACUAAUUAAAUCCCAUUACUUCAUUUUAUCGCAGCCUACUUCGUCACUUUCACCUCUUAAAUUCUCCUCUCGGGUAAUUCUUAUUUCUUUAGAGUUUGAGUUUCUUCUUUAUUAUCAACAUAUUUCUCUCUUUCUUGCGUGGUUUAGGUUUGUGUUGUUGAAUGUUUGCUGGUGCUAGAUCAAUGGGGUACUGGUGGGGUGUGAUGUGCAUGAUCAGUUUCUUUUAGCUUUAAUCGUCUCAUUAUCAACUAGUUGGAAACCAAACAUUAUUAGCCAAAAUUACUUUAUUUGGUAAUCCUACUAAUUCACCUCUUCAACCACCAAAUCUCUUUGUUAAAAUGGUGUUUUUCGUCAUUUUUUUUUAUUGUUCAUGGCUAUUGUUAUUGCAUUGGUUGCUCUAGAAUCCAAAUUUAUCAUAUUGGAGUAUGGGUUUAGGAGGAAAACAAGGAACAAAGACUUGUAAAUUGGAAACUUUUCAAUGGCUCUGGCACCCUUUUUAAGUGUUGUUCGUCUCAGGAAUAUAUUAGGUAUCAAAUUAUUAAGCCUAUGCAAAUGUUAGUUUGGGUUUUUCUUCAUCAUUUUUAUGAUUACCGUGUUAUAUUUAAGUUAAAUAUAAACCCCAAAAAGAGUGGCGAAAGCUCUUACUGAGAUGCUGGAUUGCUUUUGUUUCUUAUAUUUUAUUCAUGAGUCAUUUUCAAAUUACAGGUCAUAUUAAUGUCUUAAUCUUUACGAUACCUCCAUUUGUGGAAUAAAGUAAAUCUGAAAUUGAAAACUGUGGUUAGACUGUUAAAUUUUAAAUAAUCUGUUUUGUUUCUUUUCGGAUUUUUUCCUUUAAAAUUAGUUAUUAUUAUUGUUAUCAUUUGAAUUUUUUCUUCAAGAAAGAAUUUUUCAAAAUCUGAUGGUCUAGGCUUCUUUGUCUUUGUAUUUAUCUUUUGCAGACCAAUGAGUAUCAAGGUUGAACUUCAGAAGGUAAAGUGUUUUACUGCGAGCCUCUAGGAAUUGCUUGGUUUAUUUUCAUUAUCUUUAUUUGUCUUUAUAUUAUUUAGUUUUACAUUCUGUGAAAGAAUAAGCAAAAUGCUUAUUAGGAUCCUAGGGAAAUUUUUGGGGCCUAAAACAAUGUCUCUAAGAUAGCAGCAACCUCGUUCAAAUCUUUGUAAACUUCAACUCUACUUUAUUCUGAAUCAUUUUACUUGUAUUGUGACAACUUGAUUUUUAUGUUGUGGUUUUGGUGUACAUGAAUCAGAUGCUUAUUUUUUUUUUUUCAAGGCUUGCCCAGAUUGGACUUCUUGGGCUUCAGCUGAUAUGGCAUUUCCUACACUUCAUUGUUAGCGCAUUUUACUUUGUGGUUGGUAUUGCCACAACACUUGAAAGCUAUUUGAUAUCUUGGGGAUUCCCAUGCAAGUACAAACAUCUUAAUAUAGACAGGGUCCAAUAUCUUGCCAUUGUGGUCGAAAGUGAUGAAGCUUAUAAUACAUUAAAAAUGAUUGAACUUCUGGAAUGGUUAGUAUCGUUGGGCAUUAGAAGCGUUUGCUUGUAUGAUGCUGAAGGUAAUGAUUUUGUGUCUAUCCAGAAAUUCUGAGCUCUCUUUUAUUUUUUGCCAAAUGCUUGUGAUUGUUUUUUCAAAUUUGUUGAAUGGUAUGCUUAUUCAACUGUGUUUUAUUUUCAAGGAGUGCUUAAACAGUCCAAGGAAAUCAUUUUGAAGAAAGUAAAGAAUGCGUCUGAAUUUCAGGUACAUGCAACUAUAAGAAAGAUUCAAACCUAUGGGUUCAGUAAGUGACAAAGUUUUCUGCAUUGAACCAAGUGAUCCCUAAUACUUUGAGGCCCUCUUUUUGAAAUAUGAAUGUAGAUUUGUGUAUGGUAUAAUUGUGUUUUUAUCAGUCCUUUAUCUUUGAGUAUUUCUUUCAAUGUUCUUUCCUUUUAUUAGUUACCUCAGUGGAAAUUGUUGAAAUUCCUCUUGUAUUAUAUUUACACACUUGGGUCUUUUAUUAUUUGUUUCUUUUUUGGGAGAAAUUAUGUUAUAGGGAGUUUCUAAGUCUUAGUUGUUGUUAGUUAUAUAUAAAUAAAUUUACCUUUACCCACUAACUUAAACUUUUGGGUUAAUUAGUAAUUUAAGAUGGCACUAGACAGGUGGUCCAAGAAGGUUUUGUAUUCGAGUCCUUGCAAUGUUAAUUUUCUCCUCAAUUAAAAUUGAUUUCCACUUGUUGAGCCUUUCAAAUAUUUCAAGCCGCCAAGUGAGGGGGAGCGUAGUGAUAUAUAAUUCAAUUUACCUUUACCCACUAGCUUAAGCUUUUGGAUCAAUCGGUGAUUUAAGUUGCAAGGUUAAUGGUAAUGAGAUUGCCUUGGGUCCUUGAUGGAAUAGCAUGCUUUUGAUUCCAUGUGUAUUGCUUCUCUUUAGUGAAUUAAAGAGGGCUUUUUGAAGUUGUAUUUGUUUCUUUGAAGUUGCAUAUUAAUCUUUGCAUGAGGUCAUUUAUUUCUUCAAUAGUACGAGUAUAACUGCUGCCUUUUGUUUUCUCUUCCAAGUUUACCAUAAAAAAUGACAGUACUCUGCAAUUUGAACUUAGGAGGUGAAUGUCAAUAAUAAGAUGUGCAUUAUUCUUCUAAUUUAGUCAUUGCCUUCAGGGGAUUGACGAACCUCUCCAACUAAACAAAAAAGGCAUUACUCUGGAGUUCAUUUCAGCUUCUGAUGGAAAGGAAGCCAUUGCCAGAGCAGCUAAUUUUCUUCUUCAAAAUAAAUGGAGAAAAACCAACAUGAGUGGAGACCACAAGCGAUGCUUAUCUGAAUCUCAAAUGACCGAGGCUUUAAAAGCAGUUGGUCUGUAUUCUUGCUUGUACUUGAUAAGGUUCAGAGAACUGUUUUACUCAAAUGUUAAUUAACCUUACGGACAUAUAUUGGAUCCAUAAUUAGGUUGUGGAGGGCUUGAUCCUGACCUCAUUUUAGUAUACGGGCCUACAAGAUGUCACUUUGGGUUUCCUGCAUGGAGAAUCCGCUACACAGAGAUUCUGUGAGUCUUUUUUGUUUAUUAUAUAUUUUUUUUCAUAAGUAAUGACACGUUUUGGUGAGCUGAUGAGAAGUACAAAAGGGAAACCAAAAUCCUCAAUCAGUAGCUAAAAAAUGACUACAUGAAAAAGUUUAGUUACACUAGGUGGAUAAUUACAUAAAGGUUCUAUCGAAGAACCGCAACUCGAUGUUCUAAACUUUAUGAAUGCCCCAUGCAUCCUCCAUGCCCUUGCUUUUAGAGAGAAAAAUUGUCUCUCUAUUAACAGAUUCUAAAGAAGGGCAGCCUCCUUGUGCUUUUCUUUAGGGAGUGUCCACAAAAGUGUUGAUUGUUAUGCCAUCAUGGUUCAUAAAAUUUCAGUAAAGACUAGCCAACAUGCGUCAAAGGCCAAGUGGAUUUAAGAAAUGCCUUUCAAUAUUCUCAACUUUGAACUCAUGCAGCAACAGAAUACCAGGUUGGAAGUCCCUCAGAGAAGUCUUAAUUCCACCUGCUUUCCUUCUAGUCCUUAGCUUGCAUGCCGACGUGCAUAUCUAUGAGAUUUAUCGUAAUUCACCCUAUAUCUUAACUUUUAAAUUCUAUCAGACUUCUUGAGCAGGAUCUUUUAUCUUCUUCUUCUGAAACUCUUUCUCAUUCUAUCUCAUUGUUAGCAUCCACGUCUUCUUCUGUCUGUUCAUUGCUACCAGCUGUUUAUGUAUUUGAUGAAAAUUGGCAUUAGUCUUCCACCUUGGUUGCUUGACACUUGACUAGGGAAGCAUCAUAAAGGUGAUUGUUCUGCAUAAGACCCCUACCCCUACCCCUACACAUGCUAACUCUCUAUACAAAACCCGGAGCUGCUAGAAGUAGAAUACGACCCAUCCGUUGUAUGGUCAUUCUGUGCUUCGAUUCCUUUUAUUCCGCCUGUUUUAGCAAAAAUACUUCCUUCCAAUAGGGAAAUGGUGUUUGUUAAUGGUUAUAUUGAACAUUUUGAAUAAUUGUAUAUCUAUACUUAUCAUAGAAAAACUAAUAUUUUCCGUUUAAGAAAGCUUAUUUAAUGGUAUGUGAUUGUGUGGAACCUUUACUUAUGAUUUAUGAAAUAAAUCAAUUUGUUCAUCUGAUGAACCAAACACAAAAUUUAAGUUAUCUAACAAGUUUUCCUACACAUUUUUACUUAUUUCUUUCUUUCCAAAUUUUGCACAUCUUGAUUUAAUGCACUUUCACUUUCUAUUGCUGCAUAGUUGUAUCCUUUCAAUGGCAGAUUAUCAAAUUAUUAGCAGUAGAUUAUUGUUUACAAUUCCAUACAUUUUUGUAAUAAUUUUUGGGGUUGAAGAGAAUUGUAUGAGCUUCGAUGAGAUUUACUUGUGUUGUCUUGCAGACACAUGGGACCGUUGAAGUCCAUGAAGUACGGUUCCUUGCUGAAAGCCAUUUACAAGUUUACCAGGGUGCGACAGAACUAUGGUGAGUUACCUGCUAUUUCCUUAAUAAGUUCUAAUAAAGUUUAUAUAUCUCCUUUUUAUAAUGUUAUUGCUAUAUGUUACGAUUCUAAAUGUUGAACUAUGAUUUUACAACUGAAUUCCAUUUUGCUCCUUUUUUCUACAAUAAAGGUUUCUUCUGUUUGGUUGAGUGUUUUCAACAUUCAAGGACCUAAAAAUUUGUUUUUAUUUCAGAAAUUUAACUGAUAAUUCAAAUGUUUACAUUUAUAAAAGAUGAAAAGCAUGAUCGUGAUGGAAACGUCCUAGUUUCCAAAAACCAAAUAGUUAUUGAAUGUUGGCUUUUAUCGAUCGAUCGAAUCUUGUAUAAUAGUUUUGAAAGCGUCCUAGCUAGUCUUACCACAUGUCCAUUUAAUAACCAUUUGAAUUUUUUAUUUUCAUAACAAAAGCCUAUUCACGGAAUUGUUUGUAGUUCAAACUCAACAACAAUAAUUUUGUUUUACUUCAACAUAAAAAAUCACAAUAUUUUAAUAAGCUAAGUUAUUUGUUUAAGUUGUAACUUAUUAUUUUCUACAUUCAGUAGGAAGUUAUAAGUAGGUUACGUUUCAAUUUUUGAAGGUAGUGAGUGACUAAUGUUAAUUAUGUGAUGGCUUCAAUAGGUAAAUGAACUGAAGCAUCGUGCAGCGAUGGAAAGCCAAUGAAACAAGGACAAGAUUUUCUCAUUUGAACAGUCAUGGAUUUAGUUUUAUGAAUCGAAUCCAAGGGUUUUGUCAUUUCAUUACUCUUUUAAUUACUGUAAAGAAUUCAUAAACAAUAUAGGCAACUAUAUAAAAUUCAUCAACCCUAAACAAUAUAGUUUUAUGUAUUUAUUUAUUUAUUAUUAUUAUUAUAACUUUUUAUGUUUUUUUUUUUUGUUAAAUUAGAUAUUGGUGAAAUGUUCAAGUACAUAAUACUAACAGUACUUUUUUCAAGAAGGUUGUUUAAAAGUUGGAUUGGUAGAGAAUUUGAGAAAUUUGAGAUGAACUAAUCUUUUUUUAUCAUCUUAGUGAACUAUAUAUAAAAUAAAUAGGGAUGAGUUAUAAAAAAAAAAGGGGGGGAAGCAUCUUAAUUAUUUUUUUUAGAUAUUUUAUAUGAAUAUGGUAUGUGAUUAAUUCUAUUAUGAAUAUCAUUUUCGUUCAUCUCCUUCAAAUUUUUUCACGGACUGCAUAUUCAUUUCAUACUAUUAAUUAUGUGUAUGAAAUAGAAAAAUAUGAUAUAUCGGUGAUUUUUUUUCAAUAAAUAUAAUUUACAGUAAAUUGAGUAUAUAUGUCACAUAAUUUAUCAUAAUAGUUAGUCAAGUAUAUAUACCACAUCAUUUUCUUUCGUUUUUCAUUUUUUUUCAUAUAUUCCCAUAAUUUAAUAAUUUAUAAUAUAUACUUAUUAUAUUUCAUCAAAUUUGCACUAAUUUUCAUAUAUUGAAAAUUAAUUUGUAAAAUCUUCCUGUGACUGAAAUUGUUUUCGAUUUAAAUAGAUCAUUAUAUAUUCAUGUAUAUUUAACAUGAUAUUAGAUAACAAUGUAUGUGUGCAUAUUUUAGUUUGUAUUUGUAACAAUUUUUACAAUGACAUGAAAGUACAAUUUUAUCAAGAAAGUAAGAAAAAAAAAAGAAGGAAACUAAAAGGGAAUAAAAAAACAAGUGGAGAGAAAGGAGAAAUGAAGAAAUAAUGAGACACUUGAUCACUAAGAGAUUUAUCAUAUACUCUAUAAUAUAUUAUAUACUUGUAGAUAUAUUUUAUAAUGUUUAAAAUAUAUGUGGAUAUUAUUUAAAAAGCUAAAAUGGAGAAGAAAGGUUGGAAAGCAAAUCCAAGGGAGGAUGUGUCCGAGGUAUUUUUAAUAAUAUUUUAUAUAUAUAUUGUAUAAAUAAUUAUAAUAUAUGAUAUAUUAUGUGUCCGUUGGUUUAAUAAUAUAUUUUGUGUGUGAUGCUUAAUGCUUAAUAUAUACUAUAACAUAUAUGAAAUAUUACGUGUCUACUGCUUAAUUAUAUAUUUAUAUGGGGUGAUGCUUAAUGCUUAUGAUAUAUGUUGUAAAUUAUAUGAUAUUUUUUAUGUUGUACGUCCAUAAUUUAAAUAAGAAAGGUAAAAUAUGUUGAUUAUAUAAUAUACUAUAGUUUAUAAUUUAAGCAACAAAAUUAAUAACAUGAAAAAAUUAGUUGAAGGAGAUGACUGAAAUAUGCAUUCGCUGUACUUUGUAUUGAUUGCAAACUUUAGCGAAAAAUUAAUCAAAACUAUAUACGGUAAAAUUUACAUAAACAUAUGAAAGAAAGAAAUAUGCACUCAUCAAAUAUAGUUAUAAAAAUAAUUUUAUUGAUUUUGUAUAAAUUAUUUAAUAUCUUAUUACCGUAUUUGACUUAAUUUUAUAUGAUAUUCGAAUUAAAUGAAAAUAAUUUGGAAUUAUUUAUUACAUUAAUUAGAUAAGUUAUAAAAUAGAUAAUAAAUAUGAAAAAUUGAGACAUUUGUAUAAAAUGAAGUGCAAAGCAGUAAUUUCCCAAAAUAUUUGAAAAAAGAAAGUAAGAAGUAAAAUGAAGAAAAUCCAAAAGCUACAAAUACUAAAAUUGUAAUAAGAAAGGAAUAAAUUGAAAUAAACCCAAAGCAUAGGUGUGCCAAAUUGCUUAUUUAUCCCAAAAUCAAAUAUGGUCUCACGUUAAGAAUCACACUCCAAAUUUUGAGGGAAUAAAACAUGUGUUUUGCAAAAGCGAAUUUUCAAUUGGAUGUUAGAUGAGAACCAAAGCCCCAACAAGCUCCCUCUUCUCAUUUUAACUCCAUUAUUGUUUCGACAAGAUGAAUUAGUUGGUGGGUGUUUCAGCCAUCUAAUUGACCAAAAUGUUGAACUUCUUUCUCUUCACCACUCGAAUCUACGUCAACCCAUCUCAGGUAGAUUACCUUUUAUUGCUUUUCCAUGUAAGAAUUUGACGAAUAUGGUUAAUCUUUUCGAUUUCCGUAGGAUUCAUUGCUUAGCUUAUGAGACUGAUGUUCAUAAAUGGAAAGUGAAUGUGUAGGUCCAUUUUUGCCAGCAUAUAAAUUCUUUUCUUCGUAUUGAAAUCUUUUGCAAUGGUAAAACCCAAAGCAAUCGACUGUCCAAGUAUAUGUUAUCGACCAAUUGAACCCUCAGACCUUGAGGUUUUGGAGCAAAUUCAUGGUAACUUGUUUCCAAUCCGGUAUGUAAUUUUACUGUGGGUGCGCUUCAGUUUGAUUUUUUUUCUUAUGUGAUGUUGAAAUUGAUAUAUGGGUUGUUUGAAUUUCUCAGGUAUGAGGCGGAGUUUUUUCAAAAUGUUGUUAAUGGGCGUGACAUUGUGUCGUGGGCAGCGGUCGAUCAUAAUAGACCGGAUGGUAGAACUGAUGAGCUUAUUGGAUUUGUGACUGCACGAACUGUUUUGGAAAAAGACAGCGAGGUGAGAAUUUCUUACUCUUUGUAUAUUUAUAUCUGAGACCCAACCUUCAUACUUGAGGUGUUUUCUCUUAACUUUCUGGGGUAUUUUUUUUUCAUAAUUUUUGUAUUGAUUUUUCAUCUAAACAUCAACUCUCCCGUUGUUUUAAUUUUUUUUUUCUUUAUCUCGUUUUCCUGUAGUAAAAACGUUGAAGUUUUGAAGCAAUGGACGAUAAAAAGGUUGGAAGUAGAAACAAAUAUAUUCACGUAUGUAAUGGGGAAAACUCAAAGUUAACACUUGUGGGGUGGAAGGAUCACAAAAGAAAAUAGAGGGAUUUGAAUGGACUCAAUAAGUGGUGUAAACUACGAAAGGUUUUUUUUUUUGUAUGAAUGAAUUCUAUCCCUCAAUGUGAGGGAAGAGUUUUACUUAUAGAGGAAACUGUAAUACAAAGUUAGUUAUUAAGUAAUCAGUUUAACGAACUAAAACAGCGUAACAAAUACACUAAAACAGUGUAACAAAUAACAACUUUAGUUAAGAACAACUAACAAUUAACUAGACAGGUUGUAUUACAUCAUAAUCCACCCCCUAGAGACUCCACCUCAAGUUGGGUCAGCAAGUUGAAAUCCAUCACGAGCAUGGUACUUCUUCAAGUCUGCGACAUUAAAACAGGACCGCUGUUGAUUUCUCCUGGCAGCUCUAACUUGUAGGCAUUAGGUUUGUAUUUAGCUAGAAUUUUACUAGGACCAAUCUGCCUAUCCUUUAGUUUGCCGUAGAUUCCAGCUGGGAACCUUUUCUUCCUUAAACAAGCCAUCACUUGGCUUUGAAAAUUGACUUCUCUUCUCUUCUUUGUAAGGUGUUGUGUUCUUGAUGAGAUGGUCUAGGACUUAUAUGUGGAGUUUUUGAAUGAGCUCGACCAUAUUUUCUGCUUCAUCUUGAAGUUCUACUACAGUAGGGAGAUUAGUUAGAUCAAAAGUAAGCCUUGGGGCUUUGGUAUAUACAAUUUCAAAAGGGCAUUUGGCGUUUGUUCUGUUCUUCAUGUUAUUGAAGGCAAACUCAGCUUGUGCAAGAUCCACUUCCCAUUGUUUAGGGUGAGUUCCACUCAAGCAUCGAAUCAUAUUCCCCAAGGAUCGGCUAGUGACUUCUGUUUGGCCAUCUGUUUGGGGAUGUGCAGUGGUGCUGAAUUUUAUGGUAGUAUCAAACUUCUUCCAAAGAGUCUUCCAAAACUCGCUUAGAAAUUUGGGAAUUGUCUUAGGUAUCCCAUGAAGCCUUACUGCCUCCCAAAAGAAGAGAGUAGCAACAAAAAGGGCAUCAAUUGUUUUCUUGCGAGCUAGAAAGUGAGCCAUAACAACUACCAUCAUAACAUCAUAUCCUCUUUGUAUCUUAGGUAGUCCUACAACAAAGUCUAUUGAUAGGUCUUCCCAAUUUUUUUUAUUUUUAGGAAUUGGCAGAGGUGAAUACUGACCAACAUUUGUAGAUGAACUUUAGCCCUUUGACAAACUGCACACCUUUUGAAAAAAUUGUUGGUGUUCUCUUGCUUGUGGCCAAAAGAAUCUUUGGCUAAUGAUAUGGAAGGUCUUACCGUGACCAAAAUGGCCAACGAAUCCUUCUAUGGGCUUCUUUGAUAAGGCUUCCCUUAGAGAUGUGGGAGGGAUACAAAGCUGGUCACUAAUAACAUCUGAAAGAGUUAAAAAAGGCUGAAGUUUAACCUUCUCUUGGAUGUCAAACCUUAGUCCUCCAACAAAUCAGGCUAUUAAAUGUUCGUUCCCCAUUAGGUUUGUUCUAGCUCCCAAUCGAUGAAAUUCCUCAAUAUAUUCAGCCAUGGAUCUGGGAAUGUGCCUUUUGAGUCCGAUCAGAAAGGAAAAUUUGGAAACAAUUUUCAUAGAGUUGUUCAUCUUGCACUGCUGCUUCAUCUUCUUCUAUCUUGUGAACUAUUGUGAAUGGGAUGCCAACUGUCUUCCAAUUAUUUCCUUUGUUAGCCAAGAAAUCUUCAUCUUCCAAGGUCAAAAUUUUCUGUUCGGUCUCUUUUGUUUUGCCGAUGAAGUAUCCAAAAGUGUUUGAUUCGACGUAUGACAUCUCCCUUAUAUCGUUUGGUAGUCGACUGAAAUUAGGUUUUCACUUUUCUUCAAAUAAUUUUGUUUGUGGCUAUUUUCUUGUUCUACCGCAAGCUCCCCUUUGAUCUUUCUACCUUUCUUAUUCAAUUCCUCUUCAAUUGAUUUUUUUCUUUCUUCUACUUCGUUCAUUUUUCCAAAAUUUUACAGCCCAUUUGGAUGAUUCUUAAUCUUGAGUGACUAAAUGUGAUUCUUGACAGUUUCUUGAAAAUCUUGAAGAUUGUAAUUAAGCUUUUUCUUGUCCAAAAAAAUCUGAAUUUCAUUCACUCUCUUUUGAAAGUUCACAAGAUGUUUUUAUUUGAAUAUUUUUGUUUUUUUGAAAAUGUUUCGACCUCCAAAUUUGUGUUGGAAUCAUUCAUGGGUGUUCUUUGAUGUUGGAGAUAAUAAUUUCUUUUGAAUUAUUUUCUGAAUCAUCCAACUCCCAAUUCUUACAUUGAUUUCUUGAGAAACCGGUUUUAUUGAAUAUUAAAAGUUGUGAAUACAAGAAGACAAGUACUUUAUUUAUAAUGAAAACAAACUAAUCCUAAUCCUAGUUAAUAAAAGAAACUCAAUCCUACUUCUAAAUAAAAAAAAGAAACUAAUCCUAAUCCUAAUAAACAGAAAAAACUAAUCCUAAUCCUAAUCCCAAUAAACCAAAAAAACUAAUCGUAAUCGUAAUCCUAAUAAAUUAAGGAUUUGACCAUAUAGUACCCUAUUCCUACUACAUCAUAAAAUAUAUCAUGCGUAUUGGAAGAUAAUGUUUUCAUAGCUUGUUCAUUGACCUUGCCUUCAAGCUGAACAUGUUCCUGUUUGACCUGUGGAAGUAUUGGUUCAUAUAGGGAAGCCUUUGGUGGUGUUUAUAUUUUGCUCUGUGCAUACUGCAAAGCCAUGUUGGUAAUUGGUGUUAUUCAUAUUAAAAACCUCGUCUAAAAGAAACAUUUAGGUCACAAUCUCUUCUUUACAUUGUAACUUUAAAUUGUACUGUUUAGGUCUUUGGACAUAUCAGGAGGUCUUUGUGGAAGAACUUUGAGUGGACUUACAAUGAAAAUUCCAAAAACAAAAUUCUUGCAUUUCUUUCCAAGGGUGGAGGAUGAUUAUCAUCAACAUUUAUGGCCUGAAUCAAUUCAGUUGAUCUAUUGAUCAUUUGCAUCUUUGUUGCCCUUGGGUAUUGAUGCCCAUGUUUUUUUUAGUCAAGUAGAGCGUUCUGGCAAGAUUAUAUUUCUUUCAAGGUGGUAAUGGCAUUAGGAUGGAAUUUUGGGAGGACUUUUGGUUUUUGCCCCUUUCUUCAAGCGUUGACUUCCUUAGUUAACCAUUACUUGUCAAAAGAAAGAACAAUUGCAGACUAUUGGAAGGUGGAUGAUCUUGGUUGGACCUUGAGUUUGAGAUAUAUGCUUGAUGGGGAGUUUAAAGAGUGCUUGGCCUAGGCCUACAAACUAAUAAGGGAUACAUUCCUAGUCAAGGUGAAGACCUUUGGGUGUGGUCUAUAUAACCCUCUGGAUUUUUUCCACCAUAUUAGGCAAUGUUUGUCCUCAAUGCUGCCAAUGCAAAGCCAGAAGAGUUCAUUACGAAAUCCUGGUUUGGAAAUGUUAAAUUCCAAAUAUUCAUGUGGUUGUGGUCCAUAGCCUACCAAUAGCCUUAGUGCUUAAGAUAAACACAGAAGGGAAACCCACAUCUUUCCCCACUGGUCAAUUCUCUACUACAUUCUGGCUUUGUUUGGUGUGUAUGUAUAUAUAUUUACACCAUGCUCCUAGAGUUCAGUUCUCUACUACAUGUUGAAUUUGCUUGGUGUGUUUCUAUAGAUAUCAACAUGGUGCUCCUUGGUAGUUGGGUCAAUUCUCUACUACAUUCUGGCUUUGUUUGGUGUGCAUGUAUAUAUAUUUACACCAUGCUCCUAGAGUUCAGUUCUCUACUACAUGUUGAAUUUGCUUGGUGUGUUUCUAUAGAUAUCAACACGGUGCUCCUAGAGGUCUUAUGAGAUUGGUAGUUGGGGGAAAGUUGAAAGUCCUUUGGAGAAAUGGCACUCGUGCUAUUCUUUGGCUCCUUUGGAUUGAGGAAAACAAAUAGAAGUUUAAUGAUGAUAAUUUAGCAUCUCUAUACCAUCGCCUUUAUGGACUAUCCAAUUUUAAUCAUGCUUUUGUUGCUGAUGGUUGGAAUGCUGAUAAUGGAGUUUGGAAUUUGGAUUUUCAAAGGAAUCUCAAGGUUGAUGAGAUUAAUUAAAAUGGGCUUCUCUCACCCAUAUGCUUAGAUCAGUCUCUUCAGUAAAUGGCUCACAGAAUUGGAAAUAUGGUAAUUCUGGCACUUUUACUGUUCAUUUUAUGGACCCUCUUCUGUUGCAUGGAGGCAUUCUCUUGAUCCUCUGUACUCAGUUAGUUAUUUGUAAUGGUCUUUAUUCUCAGAAGAUUAAGAUUUUCCUUUGGGAGUUGGUGGUGCCAACAUGCAGAACCGUGUUUAGUGUCGAGGACCUUAUGUUUCCCUUUUUCCUUUUUGGUGUAUUAUGUGAAGUUCUUCAAAGUCAUCCUGUCAUCUUGUUGGAUUCUGUGGUUUUGUCACUCAGGAUUGGGAUUAAUUCUCACAGCUGUUGGUUGAAGCAUGAUUCUUCCAGGGAACAUUUUUUAUAUGUUAUACAUGGUUUUUCUGGGACUUCCUUUUCACGGGUGCAGAAACUCUCUGGAUGGUUGUUAAUGGUUCCUUAUUUUGGUCUCUUUUCACGGGUGCAGAAACUCUCUGGAUGGUUGUUAAUGGUUUAUUUUGGCUAGUUGUACGAUAUAUUUUUUCCUCUUGAAUAGUAUACUUAAGUGUAAGUGAUUAGGACUUUAAAUUCAUUGGCACAAAAACAUGGUUGGUUGGCUUUGACUUUGAGAGGUUCCAAACAUCGAGACAUAUUUCGGCUCUAGGAGAACAAACAUAUUCAUUUGAAGUUUGGUCUUUCUUCCUUUCAUGGGAAGUUUAAUAAAGAAGUAUUGGUUAAUUUCUUAAGCAUGUGGUUGGUUCUCUAACUCAAUGAGGUGGUGGGGGGUGGGUUGGGGUUGAUUUAGCUGGUGACUUCAAUUGUAAGUGAGCUGGCAUUUGGGUGAUUAAACGCAUAAAAUGUUAGUCAUUGUGGAAUUUCCAUGAUCAUUAACAGUUACGCUAAAGUUACCAUUAAGUAGUUUUAAGUACUUACAAGCUGCCAUUAGGCUUUAGAGUGGAUGGGUGUAAAGGAACUAUAAGUUGAAUUUGUAAUUGGUGGGUGGUUAUUUUGUAGAAUUGACUUACACCAAUCUCGUAACUUACUUUGAAAACUGAAAUCACCUGUCUUGUAUACUUAAAACUGGGUGUCACUAAUUUACACGGAUUUGAUGCCUUGUAGAUAUCUGAUUUACUUCGGCAUGAUUCACUAACCACGGAUCAUACUCUAGUAUACAUUCUUACACUGGGAGUAGUGGAAAGCUACAGAAACCUUGGGAUAGGUACGAGUUUGUUAGAGCUAUCUGUUUUUUUUUUUAACACACAAAUUCAUGUUUACAAAUAAUCAGCUAAUUUUUAUGUACUGAUUGCAGCUAGUUCACUUGUUCAAAAGGUAAUUAAAUAUGCCUCAAGCAUCCCAACUUGCCGAGCAGUUUAUUUGCAUGUCAUUUCAUACAAUACUACUGCUAUCAAUUUCUACAAGAAAAUGUCAUUCAAGUGCCUACAAAGACUGCCGGGCUUUUACUUUAUCAGUGGGCAGCAUUAUGAUUCUUACCUGUUUGUCUACUAUGUAAAUGGUGGUCGAUCUCCAUGCUCUCUAUUGUAAGUAUCGAAUAUCAACAACCUUUAAACUCUCAUGUCUUAUAUUACUUGUUCUUUUUCAUGAUCUCAUGCUGGUUGAGAAUGACCCCUUCCUUAAUCCGAUGAGAGUUCUCUUUUUCCCUCUUAAAAGCAACCAAAACCUCAUCAAGAAUCCUUUGAUUUUUGGAUUUUUGGAUUUUUAGAUUAAUAGAUUAAUUAUUAAUGAGAAACAUAGUGUUAGGAUACUAACAAUAAUUUAGACCGAAAGGACUGUAUAAAUGGCUUAAACAGAGGCGGUACUCUGGUUUACUUUAUUUAUAUAUAAAGCCAAAUGAUCCAGAUUCACAAGAUGAAAAGAAAUAACAAGAAACAACAAGGAAAAAUGCAGAAAAGAUCAUACCAGCCUCUUGGUUUUAAGAGACCCUGGUGGCUGCUGUAGCCCUACCUCCUAAAAGAUAAAAAUACCCUAGCUACUCCAACCUAAUAAUCCUAUUUAUAGACUCACAUAUUCCUCAGCCCAGUGGGCCCUACCACUCAGAACGUCCUUCCAAUCAUUUCUCCAUAAUAAUUCCCUGUGCAGUUACUUUUCUACCCUUCCUCCUAUAAGUAUGGAUAAUUGGGGGUCUUACAAUACCCCUCGGUUCCAAGUUCACCUUGUCCUCAAGGUGGAAGGUGGGAAACUGUUGAUUCAUUUGGUACACUGCUUCCCAGGUAGCCUCGUUCUCCGGUAGUUCUUUCCAUUUCACCAACCACUCGUUGGCCCCCAAGUCCUUAUUCCAUCGAAUGCCCAGUACGGUUUCUGGUUGUAGCUGUAGUUCAAACUCUUCCGUUAGUACUGGUUGUUGGAUUUGUACUACAUGUGUUUUUCCCAAUUUCAGUUUCAGUUGGGAAAUAUGGAAGACGUCAUGAAUGGAAGCUUCGGGCGGUAACUGCAGCCUAUACGCCACUUCUCCAAUUUCUUCAAUUAUGCGGUAAGGUCCAUAGAAUUUAGGGGCCAACUUCUCCGAUCUCUUUCGUGCUAGAGAAUGUUGCCUAUAGGGUCGAAGCUUGAGAUAUACCUCAUCUCCCACCUUGAACUUAAGUUCCCUCCUCUUAGAGUCUGCCAUUUUCUUCAUUCGGUUCUGCGCCACGUUCAGGUUCUCCUUUAGAGCAAUCAGUGCUAAAUCCCUCUCUUUCAGCAUUAGUUCCACCUCAUUGUGAGGAGUCUUGUGAUUGCCGUAUGAUAGCAGCGGAGGAGGUGAUCGUCCAUAUACAAUCUGGAAGGGAUUUGAUCUUGAGGAGGCAUGGAAAGUUGUAUUAUACCAUAGUUCUGCCCAGGGAAUGAACUUAUUCCACUUUGUCGGCUGCUCAUUACAAAAACACCUCAGAUAAGUUUCUACACAACGGUUUACUCUUUCAGUUUGUCCGUCCGUUUGAGGGUGGAAUGCCGUACUUCUUUUUAAAAGGGUUCCCAUGCUAGCAAAUAUUUCUUUCCAAAAGUUGCUUAUGAAAAUUUUAUCCCUCGGUUCUUCGAAUAAAUCCGUGUACUGCUGGAGUAAGACUUGAAUCAUUGGAGAUUCUUCCUCAUCCCCCUUCACUCUCUGUACUUCAUCCAAUUCCCCAUCUUCCUCUGCCUCAUAGUUCUGCAUUUCGAGUAAGAAGCCUUGGUCGUCCUCUUCCCAUGUUUUUUCAAUAGUUUUCAGAGAGCACUCUGCCCUAAUAAGUGAAGGAUCUCCUUUUAAGAUAAACUGUUUUUUUCCCAUCCGAAAUGUCAUGGUCAGGGAUGGCCAGUGUAUCUUCAUGGUUCCCGUUGUGUUUAACCAUUGCAUCCCUAGAAUCACAUCUACACUCCCCAGUUCAAUUGCUAAAAAAUCAGCCACGAUUGUGAUCUCUUUAAGUUUUAGUUCUAACCUGUUACACACGCCUCUUCCUUGGCAUCUUGUACCAUCUCCGAUAGUGACUCCAAACGGAGUAUGAUUCUCUAACUCCAGUCCCACUUCCUCCACAAUUUUGUUGUGUAUGAAAUUGUGGGUGGCCCCACUAUCAAUCAGUAUCAAUACUUCUUUCCCUUUAAUUUCGCCUUUGAUCUUCAUCGUUCCUUUACUUGUUAGGCCAUGUAUUGCCUUUAACUCAAUUUCGGUUCCCUCCUCCAGUGUAAGCUGAUUCAACUCUAAUACUUCUUCAUUAGUUUCCUCUGUUCUGUCUUCUUCUUCCAGACUUUCUUCUUCAUUCAUGAUAAACAGCAUCAGCUCUCUUUUGUCCUUCAUUUUGCAUCGAUGUCCAGGGGAGUACCUUUCAUUGCAUUUAAAACACAGACCCUUGUCAAGUCGUGCUCUGAAUUCCGCAUCCGAUAAGCGUUUCACUGGUGGUUCACUCUUCUGGUAGUUGCCUUUAAUGGGAAUUGUCACCUGUUUCAAAGGAAACUCUGUUUUCCUGGUGAUUCCCUUCUCCCCACCUUCUGGACCCUUGUUCGUGCUUCCUUCGCCUUUUUUGUAAUUCAGUCCUCCCCCUUCUGCCUUGGACCAUUGCAGGGCUAAAUUUCUGUCGUUGACCAGCUGUGCCUCUCUCAUACACUCCUCCAAUGUUAGUGGAUUGCGGCUCACGACUUCAGCUUGCAGGUUCGGCUCUAGCCCAGUCAGGAAUGCAUCCCUUAACACACUCUCUGUCAUGUGGGGCAGGGGUGCUGAAUAAUUAACAAAUUUCUUUACAUAAUCAUUGUAGGAACCGUCUUGUUCAAUCCUGAUCAGUCUCGCCACUAAACUCUUCUGCCCUGUGUCUUUAAAAAAAUCAAACAUCC